GCAUUUGUAAGGGGCCUGGUUUGUGGUCGGCGAAGUGUGCUUCUGCGGAAAAAGUUUACGUCAUUUAGGUUCAUGUGUGUAUUUUUCUAUUUUGGGCUCAACUUUCGAGUUGGGCUCUUCUUUUGUUGGUGUCUUGGAGGUUUGUUAUGUGGUUUCUGUAAAUUUAGGCAUCCAGUUGUGUAUUGGUAAUAAAAUUUACCUUAUGGCCAAAAAAAAAAAACCUAAGAUUAUAAAUAAACAUUGUAAUUAGAAGAAUAUAGUCUCAUUUUUCCUCCUACUGUCCAUACCAUUUUUGGUAGACUAUAUUAUACUACAUUAUAAACAUGAAGAUUUAUGAAUUUGAAACUAAAUUUUUUGAAUAAAAACUCACACUCAUCAUUUGAGUAGCCAAAUAUUAUUCUUCCGCAACUAUGAUACUAGCUACCACCAACUAGCAACUAGAAAAAAGAUUUGGAUCCUCUUCGAGGCAAUUGGUCGGGAUCUUCUUGAUCGGUGUCUGUGGGUCAUUGAAUUUUUAUCCAACGGCUACAAUUAUUAUAACUUUUAGAGAGUCCCUUGUUUGUAAUCGUUGAAUAAAAUCUAACGGUCCACAUACACCGGUCAGGAAGAUCCUGACCAAUUGCCCCGGAGAAGAUCCAAAUCUCUAGAAAAAUUACUAUUAUUAAAGAAUAAAAAAUAAAAAAUAAAAAAAUAAACAAACUCACAAAGACAGAGAUCUGAUCAGUUGGGUUUGCGUGUAGUCGACAGGACUACUUCUUCUAUCCACCUACUCACAAGUUUCACUCUCUCUCUCUCACUUAAAGCAACUCCACUCCCCUCCUCACCCAAAACCCACAAAGAUCCCUCACUUUCUCUCUCAUUUUCCUCCAAACCAAACACAACCCAGAUGGCCAUCAACAGGGACUCCACUCCCCCUCCAAUGAUCGGCAAGAUUGGGCCCUACACUGUGUUCAUGACUCCGCCCUCCACCCCUAAGCCGCCUGAACCGGUCUUUGAAUCUCCCCGGAAGGUGGCCGCGCCGGUCUUUGAGUCCCCCAAGAAGGUGGCCCCGCCUCCGGUUCAGCCGCCGCCUCAGCAAUUGGUGAAGCCCAUUGCCGUAUCAUCGGAUUCCUCGGCCGAUGGGUCGGUGUUGGGUAUUUUUAAGAAUGCUGUCACCAAAGUGCAGAAGGGUAAAUGCAUGUUUUUGUUUACUUAUGAUUUUGACAUGAAAUUAAUGAAAAGAAAGAAAGCCCAGAUGAAAUUUUGUUGUGAAUUGUUGAGUAAAUGGUGUAAAUAAUUUUUAUUUGUUAGGAAGAUUAAAUUACCAUUAGAUUUGAUGUUUUAAUAUUUUUUUUUUCAAUUUAUUUUUUUAUGCUUGAUGGAAUGUAAGCAGAGUUGAUUGGUGAUUUUGUAACCCCUGCUUGGUUUUCGGAGAGAAUAGAUAGUAGAUUACACGGUGUUAUGGUUUCUGUGCUUUCCUCGUUUGGUGGGGUGAAUGAGAUAGGUUGUGAUCAAUUAAAAUGAAGUUGAGUCCAGUCCGUUGUAUGUUGUGCCAAAAUGUGAGAUAGACUGGACAAAACAUGAUGGGUUGUGAAUUCGCAAUAAAGUGGGUUAUCUAACCUAUCCUUAUACAUGGGUUACAAGUUCAUGCCAGUCCAAUCCUAUCUCGAGGCGCAAUCUCAUCUAGCCCACCAAAGGGGCCCUUAAGGUUUUGGGGUGCAGAAACUUGAAAGCGAAUACUCGGCAAUCUGAAUUUUCAUUUUUUAGUUUCACCAGUCCUACACUUGUUAAAUGUUUGAGGCGGAGGUUUGGUGAAUAGUGAAUACUUUUGUUGAUAUUUUCAUUGCAAGUGAACCACAACUAAGGGAUGCCUCUUUGGUUAUGUUGCAGCUCAUUCAAGUUUGGACGACCAUUUGGCACGUUGGUUUGGGUUAAAUCAGUCAAAAUAUCAAUGGGCACUAGAUGAUUAUUACCAGAGCAAGGGGGUGGUAAGCAUUUGAAUGCUUGCAUACAUGUUACUUGUUUGCUUUCGUUGCAUUUUUAUGUUGUAAUGUUUAGUAGCUUAAGCUUGAUGUCUUGAUAAAUGAGCAUUGGAUAAAUUCAAGUGUGCAGGUGUUGAUUGAUACAGAUAUAAGCAAUUGAAUAAAAUCAUCGGUUUAGUUUCCUUGUCAGUGUCUCAUCAUGCGCCGUCAUACAAUCAGUACUAAUGCAUUUGUAAUUUGUAUUGAUUAAGAUCUUGUGCGAAGUCCUGUUUUGUAUAUAAAAAUGUCUUCCUAAGACCAGUAUUAUGAAAGUCAAGGGUUUUUAAUCCUUGGCCAGUGAAUGCUCUUGUUUUGUUUUUUAAAACGUUUUUUUUGUUUUCAGUUAGAAAGUUGCAUUAUAACAGGCCCUGAACAGAAAGAGAGAUCGAUGUCUCUUUAAAGUUUACAGUAUGUGUGUUGACCUACUCCAACUUACAACUCCUUUUGAAAUAUGGAUCAAACUUCAGCAAUAGUCACUAUAUUUGAUAUCACAUCGUAGUGCAAGGGUGAAGGAAUAUUGGUAGAAUGUUGAAAGAAAGGACAUAAAAUUGGUAUCUAAACACUUGUUUUGAUGUUAAAAUAGUUCUCAAGUAGAAUGGCCGAGUACACAACUUAAACCCAACCUUAUCCAAUAAAUGAUUCAAAUUUAUGAUAUAGAAAAUCAAAGAUCCAUUGUAAUGUAGUAUUACUUCCCCAUACUUCUGGUGUGUUAAGGUAAACUUGAUACUUAAUUGUAAUAUAUUUUACAAGAACAACCCCUGCGUCACCAUUUGUUUUGUGAUGUAAAAUUUAAGUAGGGUUACUUGUAAGAACAUGUUUGAGAAGUAAAACAAGUAUUGAGUUGUGUACCCAAUAAGGAUAAACUUGUGUGGAAUAAGAUAUACAGCCUUAUAGCAGCUGGUCCUUGAGACUGUGCUUAUAAACUUGUGUUACAUUAGUAUUAUUAUUAUUAAUUUAUUAUUUAUUAUUAUUACCAUCUCAUCCCUGCAUCUUUUUCUCAACUUAUUCUGAUAUAAGCCCUGAGCACCAUUCUUGGCAUCUAGUACAAAAUACAUCAGACUGUUGUCCAUCGCACAAUAACCCCACAUUUGGUUUUCACAUACCUGGCCCCGUUAACUAUUGAUAUAUGCUCCCACCUUGUAUUGCCAUUAUUUACCUAUGAAGUGAGAUGGGAACCACAACAGAUACUUCUCCAUGAUUGAAUCCCUAGCCUCCGUAUAACCCCUUGAACGCAGCUUGUCAAUGUAAGGGAGACUAGCCUACCAACCAUAACCCCUUUAACCCUUAACUUGUUUGAAAUAAGCAUGUCUAAGCCAACUAUUCACGUAUCUCCAAGGAUUCUGUGUGUGUGUUUUACAUUUUUGGAUGAUGUUUUGCUAACUUGAGUGUAAUGAUAACAUUUAGCUUACUUGAUUACAAAUGAGCUUUGUUACUACUUUAACUUGCCUUUAUUACUGUCUAACCGUUGUUGCUGUUUUCUGUAACCAAUAACUUGAUGCUUUUACUUGAUUACAGGAAAAGGACGGUGCAAAACCAAAAGAGAUAUCUAGCAAAAUGCAGACUGUGUAACAUGGUUUCUGGACAGGUAAGGAUAACAUGAUGUUUAAAUACCAAUUUACGUCAGGUUUCAGAAACGUUUUUUAGCUUUUCCACUGAAUUUACAUUGGUUUGCAGAAUUAAUUGCAAGAGAGAGCCUUGUGCAGAAAUCUUUUGUGUAUACUAUAAUUAUAUGCAUAUGUAGGGAGUAGAAGAAGUGCAUCUGAAUCUGUAGAAUCCAACCAACAUCUGGGUUUCUGGUUAAUUCAGUUCUCCGCCUGCUGCAACUGCUGAAUUUGGUUGUCUAACAGUUUAUAAGCCAUCCAAGUCUAUAGUUUUCAACCAAAGUUUUGUUCAUGUACUCCUUUAAGCUGCCAGCUGAUUGUAUUUGUUGUUGUCGUACGUGUGGGUUCUGUACUUUUGGCUUAUUGGUGUAGUUGUAUUUUUCGUGAAAGCCGUAAUUUGUGGCUUAUGAUUGUAGGAGAUGCUUUUUCGGCAUGUAUUUGUUGUUCCUCAUCGUUGAUUCACUGCUGAAUUUCGGUCACAUAAUAACUGGGUCAAUCCCGGGACAUCGCGCUUUAAUCAACUAAAUCAGUUGAAUCUAGGUUUCGCCAACUCAAGAUCAUAACCAUGCACUGUGUCUGUGUUUUAAUCUUUUAGGAGGGCGGGGGGUUUUGUUCUAAGCCAUUCUUUGAACCCAUUAAAUCAGAGUAGCGGAGUUGCAUUUUGCGUGUGAGACAAGAUUGUCUAAUUUACUAAUAACAUGAGCUACAUAUGGAUGAGGUAACUCACAGCAUGAGAAAAUGGUGAAGGUGAUAAAAAUAUUCCAAUGUAUCACUUUCCAAGAACUCGGGACCUAUUCCAACAUCGGAAAGAGGAAUAUCACUAGAUUAAUGGAUAAAGGUAGUUUUUCAAUUGCAGUACUUGUUAUUUCUAUUUCCCUUAAGAUAUCAACUUUAGUGAGCACACUGACGUUCUAGGAUUCCUAUAGCCGGUCUUACUUAGAUGGGAUAAUGCAUUGUUAUUGCUGUAUAUCAACCUUAGGUUGAACAAUCAUGGCUCGUUAACUAAGUCAUUUUACAACAUCCAUCUUGGUGCGUGACAGUCUUCAUAUGACGUUCAGACAAUUCGUGUGCUUCCUGAAACUUCUAUCACGCAAUUUAUCUUCUAGAAUCUGAGGAAGUUGGUACUAAUUGAUGAAGAACAUAGUUGGUACUAAUUGUGGAGGUCACCAUCUUUGUUGUAGUAUACAAGAAAAGAAGAAAGAAAAGUAGAAGGUCCGUUAGUCUGGAAUUUCACAACUUCCUAAAUGAUAUGGAAAGAGAGAAACCCAUCAGGUCUAGUGUUCAACAACUGCAGACUGCAACAGAUAAUUUGACCAACUUGUUAGGUACGGGAGGUUUUGGUGCAGUUUAUAAAGGGAUAUUUGGUAAUGGAGUCCUUGUCACUGUAAAGGUUCUAAAUCGGAGCUCAGUCAAGAGAAUUGAGGAACAACUCAAGGCGGAUUUGGUUAUAACAAUUGGAAGAAUUCAUGGUUUCAAUCUGGUCCCGCUUUAUGGUUACUGCUUUCUUUGAGAGAAACCUUAGAGCACUGAGUUAUGAGUAUAGGGAAAAUGGCUGGCUUGACAAGCUCUCAUUCAAUAGCAACGAGGCUCUAACACAAAUUUGACUUUACAGCUUUGGGAUGCUAUUGUCUGAGAUCAUAGGUAGGAGAAAGAAUCUUAACAUCAAUCUUUCGGAUGUUGAAAUUUAAAUUUGUACACUGAUUUAGUUUUAAUACAAGUGUCCUUUUUGUAUUGGAGAGUGGGUUAGAAUAAGUCUUAGAUGAGCCAUGUGUCUUUGACUCAGGCUAGGAUAGUAAAAGGCUGAGAUUGAUUUCAACUUCUAAUGGUUAUUUUGUACUAGCACAUAUGCUUUGCGUGUGAAUGAAUGAAUAUAGCAACUCAGAGUCACAUUCUCUGAGUUAGAUUUCCUUGCAUUUUUCAGCUCCCUCUUUGAUCCAAAUUCUCUAUUGCUUCCAUAGUUUCUGUGUUUUGUUUAUACCUCUGCAUUCCAAAAGCUAAUAUGGCCUCAGAGCCAGGUUGGGUCUAAUUUAUGGGCGUUAGAGUUUGUAAAAUUCGGCGAGUUGAAUCGGAGCUGUUUCUUGCUUCGACGAGCUUCGAUAUCUCAAGAUUCAAGUUUAACAUGGCUGGGUCUGGCGGAGGAGAGCUACAAGCUCCGAUUUUCAAUGGUGAUAGCUUCAACUUUUGGAAAAUUAGAAUGAAGACCAUUUUCCGAUCCCACAAGUUGUGGAUUCUAGUUGACAAGGGCUUCGCUACUCCAGCGAAGAAGGAGGAAGUGUUCGUAUUUUGAUUAUGGGUAAAUGGGUUCAAUGAAAUGAAUGUAGGAAAUCAGAAAAUUGCAGAAGAUGAAGAUCAGAGAAUCCUGAAUGUAUCAGAGCUUGAAAAUUCUUCAUUGGAUUCCAUCUCACAUUGAAAAUGUGGAGAGAAUAUGUUACUGUUAGGAGCCAACUCACUCUUUAUCCUCAUUACAAAAUCAUCUCAACCAUGCAAUCUUAAGUCAUCAUAUAAGAUGCUUACACCUGUCAUGAGCUAUGACUCAAUAAUAUCUAGUCUAAUAUGCCAUAUGGAAUAUGAUCCAAUGGCUCACAUUAAAUCAUACAACUUGCAUUAAAAAACAAACACAACAAAUACAUUUACACAUCAACACUCCCUUCUAAAUGUUUUGUUGAUUUCACUCUAAGUGCAGCUCUCAAUUAUUCAAAUCGAUCUUUAGUUAGAACCUUGGUGAAAAUGUCUGCUAACCGCUCUUCUGUUUUGCAGUAUUUCAAUUCAAUUGUGCCAUCUUGAAUUGCAUCACUUACAAAAUGAUAUCUUCUGUUUAUAUGUCUGGUUUUCUAGUGAAAAAUUGAAUUCUUGGACAUUACUAUAGUAGAUGUAUUGUCACAUAAUAAAGGUGUAGCUUCCAUUUGUUCCUCUCCAAAAUCAGCUAGCACAAACCUUAACCAGAUUGCUUGUGCUGUGGUUUCUGCAGCACUCACAUAUUCAGCUUCUACAGUGGAUAAAGCCACACUGCAUUGCUUGAUAGAAGCCCAAGAGAACAUCCUUGAGCCAAAACUGAAUGCAUAGCCUGAUGUAAUUUUCAUAUCAUCUUCACUCCCUGCCCAAUCACUGCCACAACAACCUAUUGACAUAACUGCUUUACACUUCACAAAAUUAAUCCCAAAAUCCAGUGUUCCCUGCACAUAUCUUAGAACUCUUUUAGCUGUCCCCAUGUGUUUUCUGGUAGGUUUAUGCAUAAAUCUUGCUAGCAAACAAGAUGCAUACAUCAAAUUUGGUCUAAUAACUGUUAGAUAAAAUAGACUACCAACAAUCUUCCUAUAUAGACUUUCAUCAGCAUCCUCACUGUCGUCAGCCUUAGACAAUUUUUCAUUGAUUGCUAGUGGUGUUCCCACAGCCUUAUAGUCUUUUAGACCAAACUUCUCAAGCAAUGACUUGGCAUAUUUCUUCUAGUGAAUAAAUAUGCUCUUCUCAAUUUGAAUUAUACCCAAACCGAUGUAGCAAUCCCAUGUCUGACAACUCAUAUUGUUUCAUCAUUUCAUUUUGAAUUCUUGAAUCAUUGUAUCAGAACUCCCUAUGUAGAUGAUACAGAGAUACAAUAAGAAUACAUGCAUCACUGGAUUUGAUAUAUAGGGUGGCUUCACUUGGGCUUUUCUCAAAUCUAGACUUGUUGAAAUAGGUAUCUAUCUCAUCAUACCAAGAUCUGGGAGUUUGCUUCAGACUAUAUAAGGCCUUUUUUCAGUAUGUAGACCUUGUCUUUUUGUCCCUUCACUUCAAAUCCCAAUGGUUGAUCAACAUACACCUCCUCAUGUAGUGUACCAUUCAGAAAUGCAGACUUAAUGACACACCCUGACCCAUAAUGCCUACUUAGGCUCCGAAAUCGAACUGUGCUGGCUGACACCAGGAGGGUGACGAAGCCAUAAAGUGUAGUGAUGUGGAAAAUGUGAGUAAAUUUAAACCUAAAAGUGCCUAAGUAUAAGAGUGCGUUAGUGAGCGGGAAUGAACUCAUUUCACACGUGAUAUCAGAGUAUAAGUAAAGUACAAUAGAGUAGAUUGAGAAUUAUACCAUUGGACGUAGUUUUUGAUAUCAGCGCUUUCCGAAAAUCUUCGUUGACACUAACACUGCCACUAAAUCCUGGAGGGGCGAAAAAUAAGGGUGAGUGGGACUAAAAAUAAACUUUUAUAAAAUUCUUUUUGAAAACAUUAUAACCCCUUGCUGUAAAACAAGUAUAGUUUCCAAAAUAUACAUACUACAUAUAGUAUGAAAGUACUUACCGUAGCCUACAAUAUCUCAAGAAUUCAAUACGUCACAAAAUUCAUAAAUAUGCAUAUAACUUCUAGUAAUCACAUCUCACAGAAAUGAACAUAUCUCAUCUAGUGCUCAUCGACAUAUGUUGACAUAUGAGUUCAUGCAGAUGUAUUCUGACAUGAACAUGACUGGGUGUAAUAAUGAUUUACGCUCUAGUACUACAAUCACAUGAAGAUUAACGCUAUGCGCAUCACAUACGAGUCCUAAUUGCCUAUAGCAAUCUAGGAUAAGAUUGGCACCUACAAUGGAUCCAAAAUAAGCGUACGGUGCGAUGUGCACAUACACGUGAAUCCUGGCCUUGACCCAGGUGAGUACUGACAUCAGUGUAGCACACAAUGAGCAAAUAACGUACAUACGAUCAUGCAACAAUAAAUUGAUAAUUCACAUCGACAAAAUACUAUUCAAUAAAUAUUAAUCAUGGCCAAUCGCAUAAAAGUAUGCAUACCUGUGCAUCCUGUAGGAUUUAGGAUAAUUUCGUAAAUUCUAUCAUUUCGCUCAUUCUUAUAAACAUUAGUCUAACCUAGGCAUACGUAGGAAAUUCUUUUUCAAAUAUAUAAAUGGAAACUAAUUAAAUAUAUAAUAUUUAAAAGCAAAUACCCACUCACUGAUACUUGUGAGAUCAUAGCGGUUCGAAUUAGGAAAACCAGAGUCUUCGAUAGUAAUUGCACCUAAGCAUAAUAGUGGGACCCAUUAGUAAAACUUAACUAAAACGAUCAAAUUUGAGAAAAUGAAGUGCAGAUUCGGAAUUAGUGCGUCGAAAUACGCUAAGAAUGGUCCUGGGCAAAUUUUGUAAAAAGUCAACGAAAAGUCAACGGUCAACCCUAAAAAAUCAACCGAGCCGCCCCAGCGGUCAACUCCGUUAAAACUUUGGAAUUUUACUAAAUAGAUGUAAAAAACAAACUCGGGGCGUUGAAAUUAGCCAAGAAGGGUUUCCAAGAAAAUUUCGAAAAAGUCAACUAAUGGUCAAUAGUUAACUUUAAUGGAAUAUUCUAACUCUCAGAUGGAAUAUUCUGUUAAAGUUAACUUAAAGGUUAGCGGAAUAUUGAAGGGAAUAUUCCAUUUUAAAUCUUAAAUGGAUCUAGAUCAGUCUCGUAGAUCCGAGUUAUGGGUUUGGGCCUUUGUUUUAAACGAAUCGGGUUGACCCGGUCCCAGUUGUGGGCCCGGUCGUCGAUUUUUGGAAAAAUAUGGCCGGAAAACUUCCACGGCUUCAAAACUCAACCAAAAUUCACCAUUUAAAAAGAAAAAUGAAGCUAGGAGGGUAAGGAUUCGAGUUAUACCAUUUUGGUCCUCAGUCAUGGCCAGAAAAAGUCCUCUAACACAUCGGUCUGCCGAAAAGUCUAAGGAAUUUUCCCCCAUGCCAUUUAUGAACCAAAACCUCCACCAAAGGCCUUAGAAAAGAUAGAAACAUAAAUCAAAACACGAUCCAAGACGUUUUGGGUGGUUUUUGGAACUUACCAUCGUCGGAACUCGAUAUCUUGCCAGAGACAAAAAAUAUAUACAAUGAUGGUGUCACUGUGCAGAGAGAGAAGGAAGGAGAAAAAGGUUUAUGCCGGUUAGAGAUCGCGGUUGAGGGAGUCUGGGGGUUUCGGUGCUUGCAGAAAAUGUGAUGGUAUAGUGAUGGUGGUGCUCUGGUCUCAUUUCUGGUGGUUGUAGAGGUGGGACGAGAGGGAUGAGAGAGCGAGAGAGAUGAGAGCGGAAGUAGGGUGAGGUGGCAGCAAUUGAAUGGUGGUUUAGGAGAAAUGGGAACACGGAAGAAUGGGCGUGGGCCCCGUUGACAUAAAAAAAAUCUCAACAGAAAUUAAUAAAAUAAUGAGGGACAAUUCAUAAAAAAAUAGUGAAUUUACUAAAUUACCUUUCACCUUCGUACAUCCAUGAAAUAUUCGUCGUAACUCCGAAUUCGAUUCUGUUUACGUCUACACGCUAGUAUUGUUGAGAGCUUCAAGAAUAUGGUAAAAUAGUAGCUUGUAUGCAUUAAUUGACAGUCAACGAAAGUCAACAAUCCCGCCUUUAGGGGUAUUUUUAUUGAUUCACUCUUUUAAAUUUAUAAAAUCAUAAAAUUAGGGAUGGGUUGUUACACUUAAACAUCCAAUUGAAACAAUUUCCAUUCCUUUUGGGCUGCCAAUGCAAUUAAAGUCCUAAUGGUAUUAAGCCUUGCCACUGGUGCAAAGGUCUCAUUAAAAUCAACCCCAGGCUUUUGAGAAUAGCCUUUUUGCCACUAAUCUUGCUUUGUUCUUCUGCAUAGAGCCAUCAAGGUUUAGUUUUGUCUUAUAAACCCAUUUGAAACCAAUAACUGGUUUAUCAAAUGGUCUAUUAACCAACUCCCAAGUAUCAUUAUUUUCUAUCAUCUCAAUCUUCGUGGAUAUAACUUUUCUCCAAUCUUCAUCUCCUGAUGCCUCUUCAAAGCAUUCAGGUUCCACAACACAAAAAUUACAACUUUUAUAUAUAUCAUUCAAGCGUUUAAACCUGAGAGGAGUAUGAUAAAACUUUUGUGGACCUGUGUACACCAUUUGUUCUUCUUGACUUGGAGAAGAAGCAACAACUUGAUCAUGUUGAUUCUGCAAUGAUUAUGUGCACUCCACAUCUCCAUUAUUCUCUUCAAUCUCAACAGUACUUCCUUCCUCUCCAUGUGUUCCUUUAGUGAAUGCAACAGUCAUGACCUUCUUAGUACAAUAUUUCCAAGCCUAGCUAGCAUUUUCAUUUAAAAUUAGAUCUCUAGAGAUAACCAUUUUCUUGGUUUCUAGAUUGUACAGUUUGUAACCUUUCUCAUAGGUUCCAUAACCAAGAAAUACACACUUGGAACUUGUUGCAUCAAAUUUCUGUCUCAUCUGAAUUGGAACUUGAGCAUAGCAUAGGGAUCCAAACAAUCUUAGGUGUUUAACUCCAUGUUUUCUUCCACUAUAGGCUUCAAUGGAGUCUUUUUAUUCAAAGCCUUAGUAGGACAUCUAUUGAGGAUAUAAACUGCAGUGUUAACUGCCACUACCCAGAAUUCAAGUGGAACGCCCUUCUCCAACAUCAUUUUUACAAUGGUCCUAUUUCUCCUUUCUGCAACAUCAUUCUGUUAAGGGGAAUAUGCCACUAUAAGUUGUCUUUCCAGACCAAGAUCUUCACAAAACUGAGAAAACUCAAGAGAAGUGUAUUCACUCACCUCCUAUAGAUUCAUAAAACUUUGUGAAUUUCUCAGAAAGUAGACCCAUCUCAUUCUGGUACAAUCAUCUAUAAAAAUAAUGAAAUACUUGUUUCCAGCUUUUGUAGAUGUUUGCAUAGGUCCACAAAUGUCAGUGUGAACUAACUUCUGUGGUAGAGCAACCAUUCAAUUUGUUUCCUAGGGAAAUGCAUCUCUACAGUGUUUGCUAAGUGCACAUCCUUUAUAUACUGUAGCACUCACUUUCAACUCAGGCAAUCCAAUCACCAUUUCUUGUUCUUGUAGUUGCAUCAGAGCACUUAUGUUCAAAUGCCCCAAUCUUCUAUGCCAUAUCUCAGCAGCUUGCCCAACACUAGCUCUCAUGGUUAUUUGAAUUCCUAGUUGCAAUUUCAGAGGAAAACUUCUAUUUCCUUUCAUAGGGAUCUUAACAAUUAAGUUAGAACAUGUGAAACCAUCAUAAAUGCUGACUUCUAUUCCCCCAAAUACAAGGUAGUACCCAAGCUCCAUCAUUUGUCCUACACUCAACAUAUUUUCCUUCAAACCAGGUACUAACAUUACUUCUUUUAUGCACCUUUUGCCUUGCUUAGUUUCAACCACUAGAUGACCUUUUCCAACUACAUCAACUAGUUUUCUUGUGCCCAUUUCAACUUUGGCAAUGACACUUCUUUCAAAAUUCACCAAGAGAUAUUCUCUCCCUAUCAUGUGGUUACUACAACCACUGUUAACAUACCAAAUAUCUUCACACUUCUUCAUAAUAGCUGCCUUACAUGCAUAGAACAUUGUUGGAGUGUUCUCCACUUGGCCUGCAUAGUUUACAUGCUAAGUGGCUUUCUUAGACCUGCAAUCUUUGGCAAUGUGACCUAGCUUAUCACAGUUGUGACAUUUGGGCUUUCCCUUGAACCAACAUUCGCCAAAGUGCAAUUUGUCACAAUAGUUGCAAGGAUUCUUAGCACCAUCAGAAGUUCCAACAGGUUUCCCUUACUGGUAGACAUAUUUGUUAUCCCAUUUCUUGCUCUUUGUCUUUCAAUUCUUCGUUGGUUUGAAGUUUUGAUUGGCAUUGUAAUUGUUGUUCUUGGGAGCUAUACUCAAACUAGCAAAUGCCUUCUCACUGCUAUUUUCAUAAUGUUUCUCAAUUCGUUGUUCAUACCUUUUUAGAUUAGCCACAACAUCUUGAACAUCAACAGUCCCUAAAUCUUUAGUAUUCUUAAUUACAGACACAAUACUAUCGUAAGAUUUAGGAAGACCAAUCAAUAACUUCUGCACAAUUAUUAGGUUUCCAAGAUCCUCACCAUAACUCUUUAUUUGUUUAACAAGCUCAAGUAAUCGAACAAGAUACAAAAAAAAUGUCUCAUGCUCAGCCAUUCAAGUAUAUUCAAAAUCACGCCUUAAACCUUGAAGUUUCACAGAUUUUACCUAUUUAUCUCCCACAAACUCUUGCUUCAAUACAUCCCAGGCUUCUUUUGCCGUCUUUAGUGUGGUGAUCCUUGGGAAGAUUUGAUCAGACACAACCCCUUAAAUGAUGCCGAGAGCCUUAGCGUCCUUGCAGUGAGCUCUUUCUCAUUCUUCACUGGAGAACUGAAAUCCUUUUCAACCAUAUCCCAAAGCUCAUGGGAUUUGAAUAUGGUCUUCAUUCUUAUCUGCCAGAAAUCAAAGUUUUCUCCAUUGAAAACUAGUGCUCGAAGAUUAGCAUCACUCGAUCCAGCCAUGUUAGACUUGUUAUCGAGUAACCCAGAAACUUUCAGGAUUUUCUUCUAUUGCAGCGAGGCUUGAUUUUUCUUUGAGUUUCUUCGCUACCAAAACGUCACAGAUUCAUGCCUAAAUUACGAAGGAACCUGGCUUUGAGGCCAUGUUAGUAUUUUGAUUAUGGGAAAUGGGUUCAAUGAAAUGAAUGUAUGAAAUCAAAAAAUUGUAGAAGAUGAAGAUUAGAGAAUCAUGAAUGUAUUAGAGCUUGAAAAUUCUUCAUUGGAUUCUAUCACUGAAAGUGUGGAGAGAAUAUGUUACCGUUAGAGGAGGAGCCAACUUACUUUCUCCUCAUUACAAAAUCAUCUGAACCAUUUAAUCUUAAGUCAUCAUAUAAGAUGCUUACACAUGUCAUGAGCUAUGACUCAAUAGUAUCUAGUCUAAGAUUCCAUAUGGAAUAUGAUCCAAUGACUCACAUUAAAUCCUACAACUUUCAUUAAAAAACAAACACAGCAAAUGCAUUUACAGAUUAGCAGGAAGAGCUCAUAGAAAUUGAGUGUAAGCUCUUGCAAGAGAAUCUGAUGAAGGAUGCCAGAGCACUUGGCAUCAUCUAAGGUGUUGUUUCAGAUUAAAUAUUCCUGAGAAAUUCUACUCAGGAAACUGCAAAUGCGGCUUGAGAUAUUCUGAAGCAAGAAUUUGUUGGUAAUAAACAAGUAAGAUCUGUGCCACUUCUAAGUCUUAGACGAGAUUUUUGAAUAUUCUAGGAUGAAUGAUGAUGAUUUACUGUCUGUGUAUUUGGCUAAACUGUUUGAUUUGAUUAACCAAAUGAGAAGCUAUGGUGAAGAUUUAAGUAACCUACAGAUUGUUUAGAAGUUAUUGAUUAGUUUACCUAAAACCUAUGAUGGUAUUGUCUUUGUGAUUGAAAACACAAGGAACCUACAGACUAUAGAUGCACAAGAUGUUGCAAUUUUGAAGGGAUAUGAACAAAGAUUGAGUAGACAUAAUGAGGGUAGUGCAUAGAACGCAUUUGCUAGCUUAGAGAUAUCGAAACCAACUAAUAAGUCUGUAGGGCAAUCUAGCAAUAUUAAGUUUCAAAAGAGUUCGAAAUUCAAAGGGAAACAAUGCCUAACAAGACCACAACAUUGUGAAGGAAUGGCAAUGUGGCAGUAGAUUUAAGGUUCCUUACAAAAUAUGUGAUAAAUCGCAUUACGGAGAUGUUAGAAUAAAGGGAAGUCUAAGUGUCGUAAGUGUAGUAAAUUUGGUGACAUUGCUAAGGAUAGUAAUGUCAACAAAUCUUUGUAACAAGUGUAUGCUACUCAAUUCAAAGAGACUGGAAAUUUGUUCUAUGCUAGUCACUCCAACAGUAUGAAGAAAAUCAGUGAUGUACGGUACAUUGAUAGUGGGUGUAGCAACCAUAUGACCUCAUGAGAAGAUCUACUUGUGGAUAUCAGCCGAAAUGUCAAGGCAAAAGUACAAGUUGGUACAUGAAUAUUGGUUGAUGUAGUUGGAAAUUGUACACUUGUGAUUGAUAGCAUGAGGGGCAAAAGAUACACAAGAGAGGUAAUGUUGGUGCCAAGACUUGCAGAAAAUCUCUUAAGUGUUGGACAAAGGAUUGAACAUGGUUUCUUCUUGCUAUUCGGAGAAUAUAUGGUUGAUAUAUUUUAUGGUAGAUCUCUGAAUAACUUGGUGGUGAGUGUCAAGCAAAGAGGAAAUAAUGUUUCCCUCAUGUAUUCAAGUAUGGAAACCACAUUGCAUUGAGUGCUAAUAUGGCACAUAAUUAAAGGUUUCGUUACUUGAAUUACAAAAGCUUAAAUUAGCUACAGGAACAAGUAACGAUGUUAGGACUGCCUGAAAUUCAGGUGGUUGAAAAAUGUAUGCCAAGGUUGUACUAUGGGCAAACAUCAUAGGGAUGCAUUUCCAAAGAAUCAAGCAUGGAGAGCAAAUGAGCCACUAGAGUUGGUUCACUCAUAUUUGUGUGGCCCUAUGCAAACUCUAACUCUAAGUGGAAAUAAAUAUGUCCUCACAUUCAUUGAUGGCUAUUCAAGAAGGUGUAGGAUAUAUUUCUUGAGAAACAAGUCAAGGGUUUUCUUUAUUUUCAAGAAAUUCAAGGCAAUGGUGGAGCUUCAAAAUGGUUAUUCACUAAAGAAAUUGAGAACAAAUAGAGUAUGAGAGUGCACUUCAAAGAAAUUCAGAGUUUUAUGAAUCUAUAGGUAUGGAUAGGUAACUCACUAUGGCUUACACUCCACAACAAAAUGGAGUUGCAGAGAGAAAGAACAAAACAGUGGUUGAAAUGGCAAAGUGUACGUUGAAUGAAAAGGAACUUCCAUAUAGCCUUUGGGGAGAAGCAGUUCAUACUACAGUCUACUUAUUGAAUAGAUGUCCGACAAGGCCUAUAGAUAAUGCCACACCAUUUGAGAUGUUUAGUGGGAGAAUGCUAGGAGUAAAACACCUCAAAGUGUUUGGUUUAGUGUGCUAUUCACACAUACCAAGAAACUUAAGAAACAAGCUAGAGGAAACAAGUGUUAAGGCCAUUUUUAUUGGCUAUGGUACAUGUGAAAAGGGCUACAAAAUCUUUAAUCCUGCUACACAGAAGGUGAUAGUUUCUAGAGAUGUGAUCUCUGAUGAAAAUGGAAAAUGGGACUAGGAGAAAAACAAAGUGAAAGAAAUAUGUGUGCCAUUCAUUUCCAAUGUUUUUUUGGACUUUAGUGAGAAUGAUGAAGUCAUUGAAUCUGGGCAACAAAAUCAAGCAACUACUAAGACCUUUCCAUCUUAGUUCAGUCCUAGUGAAGCUUCAAGUUCAUUGACCAUUGCUUAUAGUCCUUAGACUAGUCAUUUACAUUCAGAAGUAUAUGAUUCGAUCCAAUUGAGUAGAGAAACUAGAGUGAAGUAUAUGAGCACUGCAAUAUCUAUAUUAUUAAGCUUGAGAGCUAUGAUGAUGCCUCUUUGGAUGAAUCCUAGUAGAAAGUGAUAGAAAAUGAGAUCUCCAUGAUUGAGAAGAACAAUACUUGGGAGCCUGUGGAUAGACUAACAGAUAAACAUGUGAUUGGAGUUAAAUGGGUUUGCAAAACUAAGUUGAAUCUUGAUGGUUUUGUGCAAAAGAAUAAGACAAGGCUUGUGGCAAAAGGUUAUGCACAGAAACUAGAAGUUGACUACAAUAAAACAUGUGCUCCAAUUGCAAGACUCGACACAAUUCGAACACUCAUUGCUCUUGCUGCAUAGAAGAAGUGGAAGUUAUUUAAGCUUGACAUAAAAUCUACCUUUUUGAAUGGUGUGCUGGAAGAAGAAGUGUUUGUAGAUUUACCUAAGGGUUUUGUUGUUCAAUGACAAGCGUAUAAGGUCUAUAAGCUUCUCAAAGCUUUGUAUAGGUUUAAGCAAGCCCUAAUGGCAUGGUAUGGAGAGAUAGAUUCCUACUUUGCUCAGUGUGGGUUUCAUAAAGUACCAGUGAAGUAACACUUUAUACAAAGAGUAAGGAGAAUUGAGAAAUAUUGAUUGUUUCCAUUUAUAUGGAUGACAUUGUGGUUACUGAUAGUUAUGAGCUAUUGUAGAAUUUAAAAGCUGAUAUGAUGGGCAAGUAUGAAAUGAUAGACCUUGGACUUUUGCACCAUUUUCUUGGCAUAAGGAUUAUGCAAAUUGAGACAAGCAUCUUCAUUCAUUAGAAGAAGUAUUUUUCAUCUCUGCUCAAGAAAUUUGGUUUGCAAGACUACAAAGCAGUGAGCAUACCACUUGUCCCCAGUGACAAACUAAAAAAGGAAGAUGGAAGUGGUUCAACUGAUGAGGCUGAGCAUAGAAAGAUUGUUGGUAGUCUUUUAUAUCUCACUGCAACAAGACCUAACAUCAUGUAUGCAACAAGCUUAUUGGCAAGGUCCAUGCAUUAUCCAUCUAACUAGCAUUUUGGAACUGCCAAAAGAAUUCUAAGGUAUAUCCAAGGAACAUUGGAUUUUGGUUUGGAGUAUGUGAAAGGAAAAUGAGUUGUGUUGGUUGGCUUCUGUGAUGGUGAUUGGAGUGGAUCUGAGAAUGGUAUAAGGAGCACCUCAGGCUAUGCUUUCACAUUUGGAAGUGGGGUAUUUUCUUGGGCCUCUGUGAAGUAACAUUGUGUAGCUUUAUUGAUGCGUAAAAUAAGUUAACACACAAAAUUAAACCCUCUUUUUAUCAAAUGUAGUAAAGUAUGUAAGUAGGGAUCGUUCUAGGCCGGGGAUUAGGAGGGAUUGCUAAACACUUGAAAACUGACUUAAAAACAUAAAAACAAAAUUUAAAACACUAAACUAGACUCAAAGAAUGCAAAACUAUACUUUAAAAUACUUAAACAAACAUAAAACUCAAAACAGCAACCUAAUGACUCAAAACUGCCUAAAAACCACUUUCUGGGCAGUUUUGAGAACCUAACAAGAACUUGGACGAAGUUGGAUGAAAACUUGAAUCAAAACACUUAGAAACACAAAUCAAAACACUUUCUAACUAAUCUAAGACUUCAAAAUAAAGGGGGAUUUGUUUUUGGACGAAAAUUGAAAACAAAACAGAAACUUUAAAACAAAACAGAUUGUAAAACGUUUUUGGAUGAAAAGGAUGGAUAAAAGGCUAGUUAGGAGGUUCUUCUCCACACAUGACACAUUUGCAAACAAAAUGAUUUUCAGUUGUUCUUUCAAUAAAUUAUGAAACUCAACACCCCAAGUUAAUUAGAUACGCUUAAAUUAACCUUCAAGUUCUCCUUAAGUUAAUGAAUUGGAUGGGAAAGCGCAUACAACAAUUCAAUUCAAAGCAUUCCUCGAAGGUUCCUUACGUGAUGAGCACAAUAAAGAUACAAUCAAGAAUCAUGGAGCACAAUGAGAAACUAUAAGUGUUGACGAGGCAUUCGUUACUAUGAUGAGCAUGAAACUAGUGCCAAGAAUUCAUUCAACGCGAUCGUUUUCAAGCGACCUUCACUACUUGUGAUUAUAAGAUUGUAACUAUUAGGUGAAACUCCCUCAUAAUCUAGCAUUAUAUUCAUGCAUGAAAACUAAGCGUGCACUCUCAAUCAACAUACACAAAUAAGUUAUCAAUCAAGUAGAUGAACGAAUUGAAUCCGCAACUUAUGAAAUAACAACUGAAUGUAAUCAAAAUCAUAUUGCAAGCAUGUACAUGGUUUCGAAUCACCCCCCAACUAAGGGGGUUUAGUUCCUCAUUCUUGCAAUACAAAGAUACAUAAAAUUAGACAUUAAAAUCAAAGGAAAAAAACACCUAAAAUGCUCCAACUUGGUAGCAAGUGCAUCCAAGAUUCCUCCUUUCCCUUGCUUGCGGCAUGAAGCUUGUGGACAGAUUUUUGGGUGGAUUUAUGGUGUAGAAUGGAUGGGGAAUUUUGUGGAAGGGUUUAGGGUGAGAGUGGAAGAGUGUUUGAUGGUUGGGGAGUGGUAGAGAACUAGGCAAAGAGGGUGGAAGAAGGUGGAGUGGCUGUUAUGUUUUCUAGGCACUAGAAUGGUGUUUUUGGGGUGUUUUGCUUCCUAGGGUGUGUAUGGACGAAUUUCUGUGAUAAAAUGAUGAAUAUGGGGGAUUGUUCUUUGGCCAAGGGGUGUAAACAUGUAUUUAUAGGCCCCAAAAACCUUAGAAAAUCAGGUUAGGUUAAGGAUGAAAUGCAUGGUAAUUUGUGUGUGUGGUGUGCAAUGGUCCAAGGGUGAAAAUGAAGUGAUGAUGCAAAGUGUGAAGGGUAAAAUGGAGUGGUCUUGAAGCUAGGGAGCAUGAAUGAUUGUGUACAUUGCAUAGAGAUGGAAAUGGAGGUGAAAAUGUGUCAAUAAAUGGGUCAAAGGUGCAGCAACAUGUGGUACACAAGGCAUGGGAUUCCAAAUGUGAAUGAUGGAGCAUCAAUUGGUGCAUGUAAUGGAUGUAAAUGUUGUCUAAAAUCUAAUAAGUGAAGGGAACAAGAGGUAUCAAGCAAUUGAGUGUAAUAAUUAAAUGAAUUGAAGCAUGAAAUUAGAAAUUAUGUAGGGGACAAGAGUGAUCAAGCAUGGCAUGGAAUCCAAAGGGAAUUCUAUGUGGUUUGCAUGGCAAGGAAUGCAAGUUGGGGUGACAGAUUUUUGGGCUAUUUUCUUCAUCUUUUGGACCAUAAUUCUUCAUAUUCUUGGCCUCUUUAGUUCUCAAAUUCGUCCAUCCACUUGGCCCAUGCAUUUGCUAUCCAUUCCAAGCCCGAAACAUGCUCCAAAGGCCUCCAAAAUGCAUCUUCUUGCAUACUUUGUACUUAGAGUCUGAAAACACACGAAAAUGACUUUAAACAUUAAAAUAACUAAGGAAACACGACAUAAAUGCACAAGAACAAGCCAACUAAGUCGCAUAAAUAUGCUCCUAUCAAAUUCCCCCACACUUAGCUUUUGCUAGUCCUCGAGCAAAACAAAGAGAUAAAACGAAACAAAACAAAUAAAACACAACCUAAACCUUCCAACAUUUGCCUCAGGGAUUUCCAAUGCACAUGACAUGUUAAAAAUCAUUAUCCCCACAGAUUUGAGUCAUCUUUACACUUAAGCACAUACUUAAUCAUAGUCACCACUUACUAGUUCACAAUUAAUCAAUUAAAACAAUGUUUUUGAUGUAGUAACAUGCCUUAGAGAAAUCACUCAAUUCCUUACAAGAUAUGAACUCAAUUUUCACUCAGAUUUUCUAACUACACACCCUAUACUAGUUAUAUGUGAGAAGAUUGAUGUAGAUAUGAAAACGAACGCUCACAUAUAUGUAUCACAAAGAAAGCAAUUUCUGGAGUUAAUAAGCAUGUUUAGAUAUGAUCUCAUGAAUGGAAUGCUACUACUUAGAUGCGAGAACCAGUGACACCAUAUGCUCAUACCAAAUUCAAACUCCACAUAUUGAAACGCAUGACACUCAAGAUGAAGUUAAGGGUUGUAACGGGGCUUGGGGUGAUGGCUAACAAAUGAAGGAUAAGGAUAACAAUCGUUCUUAAAGCAAUAGCAAGUAAAGUAAUGAAAUUGAAACUUAGAAUUCACUUAGAUUGCAGAAAUCAGCUUUUAGACACGAAGGGAAAAUUCAAGCAAUAAUUAGGGCCGAAUUCUAUGUUUUGGACCCUUUCUUCAACAAGCAGCACUUUCAAACUCUUUUUCGCAUAUUUUUCAACUCCCUUUUUUUUUUUUUUCAACUCUUCUUUUCUUUUCAACAAGCAUAAUAACUCACACUUCCCCCACACUUGUUUUCUGCCAUACAUUAAUCAAAAGAAAUUCAAUUUGAAUCGUGUUUUACUAUGCUUCAAGAACAAGGGUAUGGAUGGUCCUAAACUAGGCUAGGUAAGGAUAAUGUGGUUUAACAAAGAAUGUAGGCUAUCAAGGCUCAAUGGGGUUAACUUAAACAUAUAACGAUAUGGGAUACAUGGCAGUUUGGCUUUGGUGGUGGUAACUACACAACUUCAUCUUGAAUAUGUUUUAUGCAAAUCAAUAGCAUGCUUUGAAUGAAAUAGGCAUGAGUUCUAGCAUUUGGAACUAAAUGAUGAAACGCCUUCUAAGUAAUAGCCAAGCAAAGAAUAAUGAGAUCAUGCAAUGACUUUAGAAAACAAGAAUGCACAGAUUUUAACUCUCCAAAUAAACGUUUAAGCUCAAGUCUCACAAGGUUGUAGCGUUAGUUUGAGUUCUUUCCUUCAAGCAUGUUACAAAAACUAAUUUUUUUCUUUUAUGAUUACAUGUGAUUUCAUAAGUUAUAACCACAACCACGCAUAAAUAAAGAGUAAAUCAAACUUUCAUCCAUGUUUAUAACUCUCUUUAACAGUCAUGCAAUUACAAACCGAAUCCUCAUCAUUGUGUUGGAAGGUACCCUAAGACACAAAUAAGCGCACAAAAACAACUCUUUUUUUUGGAUUUUCAAAAACAAUUUUUUCAAAUUUUUAUGAAUUUUCGGAUUUUUUAUGUCAAAACACAUUGAAACACUCCAAAACAGCUUAAAAAAAUACUUAAAACAACAAGGAACAACACUAGAAGUAAUAGGUGAUAAAUUUCUACGAAUUUCAUGCAAAACAAUGGUUACCCCCCCACACUUAAAUCAAACAUUGUCCUCAAUGUUUCAAGCAUAUACUCACACCAAAAACAAGCAAAUAAUAAACGACAAAUAAACAUGACAAAUAUGGCAAAGUAAAAACCAGACAGAGUAGAGUUUAAGAACGCAAAUCUGGUUUUGGAGAUAGUUGAUCUUGUUGACUUUCCACAGCUUUACUCUUGAACGAGGUGAUGUUGCAGUUCCUUAUUUGUUCUCCAAGCAGAUGUGGCAGCUUCUCUAGUUCUUCAGCUCGGACUCCUUGUGCUGGGUUGAUUGUACGAGCUGCAUUCUUCUCUGCUUGUUUCUUCUGUACGUUGUCUCCACAUGCUGCUGGUAUCAUUUUCGCUUGCCUUAUCUGUUCUUCAGGUAGAUGUGGCAGCUUCUUUGGAAGUACAUCAGCAGUGGAAGACGAGUACUCGAGAGCAAUUUCUCCAUGUCCUGCAGGUUAGAACAAAGACAAGGAAAAGGACAUGGAGAAUGCAUGAUAUGAGAUACUCUUGCUUUCAACCAUUAUGAUAUGAAAUACUUUUGCUCUGGAUGGGUUGUUUGCAGGGGUAUCCCAGGGAAUGAGAAAUACAGAGUGACUUGAGAGGGUGUGUUGGAAAUACAUUCUCGGAGAUGAAGAAGUGCUGAGAGGGUGUGCCUUUGCUGUGGAAGGCGAAGGUAGAUACUUAUAGGACUUUUCUUCACAACUGGAACUAUUCCCUCACUCAUUGUCGGCAGCCGGUGGAUGGAUGAAUAGUACAAAUUACGCGCUUUCUGACAAAGCUGCCCGUAAUUUCCGCAAAGCUACCAGUUGCAUGUGACGAGUGACGACACGUCUGGACAAUUUGAUCUUUUGAAAUUCGGUGUUCGGCUCGCGGUUUCUGAGCAAGCCCAGCCUUUAAGAAAUGAAACGCCUCUUUUGAGAAAAGAAUCCGACUUUUGAGAAAGGAGCCCCGACUCUUCGAUUUGCGAGAGGACGCUUCUCUGAGGAGCGCCUCUUUGAUUUCUUCUUUUUAUAGAGGCGUUAAUUUUGUUCCACAACACACUUGAGCUCCCUCCUGUAAACACUCCCUUCUUGCACUUGUUUAAUCUUGAUCAGUCAUCCUCUCUUCUUUCUUCACCACCUCUGAAAAUGUCUGGCCCUUCCGAUCGUCGUUUUGACUUGAACCUUGGUGAAGAGGCAGCUCCGCCUUCACCAGACAACAUAUGGCGCCCAUCCUUCAUAUCCCCUACCGGUCCCCUUACCGUGGGGGAUUCGGUGAUGAAAAAUGAUAUGACAGCUGCGGUGGUGGCCCGGAACCUUGUCACCCCCAGAGAUAACAGACUGCUCGCUAGACGGUCUGAUGAAUUGGCGGUUAAGGAGUCUCUGGCUCUUAGCGUGCAGUGUGCGGGUUCUGUGUCCAACAUGGCCCAACGCCUAUUUGCUCGAACCCGUCACGUUGAAUCGUUGGUGGCUGAAAUACAGAGUCUCAAAGAGGAGAUUAGAGGACUCAAGCAUGAAAAUAAACAAUUGCAUAAGCUUGCACACAGUUAUGCCACAAACAUGAAGAGGAAAAUUGACCAGCUGCAGGAAACUGAUGGUCAGAUUUUACUUGAUCACCGGAGGUUUGUGGGUUUGUUCCAACAGCAUCUGCCUUCGUCUUCUGGGGCAGCACCGCGCAGUGAAGCUCCAACUGAUCAACCUCUGAUACCUCCUCCUUCCGUGGCCCCACCGACUACUGAGAUUCCGCCAACUACUGCGACUUCUCCCAAGCAGCCUUUGUGAUGGCUCUUCCUCUUGUAUUAUGUUAUGUUUCUUUAUUUCCCAGAUUCCUGUUCAUUUCAUGAAGUUUAAUGUCAAAAAUCCCUUGCAUAUUUGUUAAUAUUUCAAAAUAGAAAAUCAUAACCAAAAAUAAUUAAACAAGUAAUAAAAUUGACAAUCAAGCAGAAUAAAUGGGUUGCCUCCCUUAAAGCGCUUGCUUUAACGUCUUCCAGCCGGACGAUGAACACCUUCAAAUCUCUUUGGAACCCACGGCAUGCAGUGGGAUAUCCUCCACAACAUGCUCCACAAAGUUCUCGUAGAUUACAUCCUUGAACGGAAAUGGAUAGUGAUGUUUUGUUGAUGGGUGCGUUGUGUUGUCUAAGGUUCAUGUUCAUACGCCCACCAUCGGGGAUUUGCUUAGGUACCUGCACCAAAGAAGGGAACCACCUAUCAACUUUAAAUGGCAUUGGAUUUGGAUUAGGUGGCUUACCUAUGUGAUGUGAUGAAGUGGCAGCAAUGUGAACAUUCUUCCCCAUGGUGCUUUCGGCCACUUUGAGCAUUUUGAGGGCAGUGGCCGUAUGGUCCUUGUACUCCACUCCAAUUCCCUCGUCUUGCAUGGUUCUUGAUGCAUCUUUCGUGCUUGGUGCUGAAUGGUCCGGUCUUAUCUUUUCAAUUUUACCAAUGGCACAACAAGAAUGAACAACAUUAGGAGUCUCAAUGGAUUCAGAAAUUUUGAAACUAAUCAUGUCACCACCAAAUGCCAUAGUGACUAAUCCUUUGGCCACAUCAAUCUUCGUUUGAGCCGUUUUCAUGAAUGGCCUUCCAAGGAGGAUGGGCAAUGAAGGGGCAUGGUCCGAUUCAUCCAUUUCGAGGACAUAGAAAUCUGCCGGGAAGAUUAAAUGAUCAACCUGCACUAAAACGUCUUCCAAAACUCCCUUUGGAUAAGCGUUAGAUCUAUCGGCCAAUUGUAUGAUUACACCAUCAUUUUUCAAUGCUCCUAAGUUCAUAGAUGCAUAAAUGGAAUAUGGCAUAACAUUUAUAGAAGCACCUAAAUCAAGCAUGGCAGAUUUGAAAUGGGUAUUACCAAUGACACACGGAAUUGUAAAACUUCCCGGAUCUUUACAUUUGGGAGGUAGUUUAUGUUGCAAGAUGGCGGAGACAUUCUCACUUACAUGUACCACCUCUUUCUCCCGGACACGUUUCUUUGCUGUGCAAAGCUUCUUUAAACACUUGGCAUACUUCGGGAUUUGCUUUAUGGCAUCAAUGAGGGGAAUGUUGACAUGCACCUUUCUAAAUGUCUCUAGAACAUCUUUUUCCUCCUCUUCGUUCUUUGAUUGCAAAAAUCUGCUAGGAAAGGGGACAUUGGGCAGAUUAGUGUUCGAAAUCACAACAUUUGGAACAUUCUUACCUGAGGUGGACGGAUGGGAUGUCUUAGAUGGCUGCGGCAUGGGUGAUGGUACCCUUGUCGUGGGGUAGGUGUUCUCAUCUUCUUCGAGUUGUAUCUUCUCAUCUUCCUUGUUUCUCACCUCUUUUCCACUUCGUAAUGUGAUAGCCUUUGCAGAUUCGAAGCCACCCUUUGGAUUGACCACCGUAGUGCUUGGUAACUUACCAUUUUCACGUAAUUGCCCCAAAAAUUCGGCCAUUUGGCCCAUUUGCUUCUUCAGCUCAUUAACCUCCUUUGCUUGGUUCUGCAUUCCCUGCGCCAUGGUGGUUAGUAACUGAUAUGUUUUAUCAUCAUUCAUAGACGUACCUGGGUUAGUUUGGGAAGAUUGUGCCUGAGGAGGUGGUUGUGGUUCCAUUGGCCUUGGAAAGAAACUCGGGGGUUGUUGGAAUCCACUUUUGUUGGCCAUAUUGUGGUGCAUCUCUCCAUCUGAAAUUGGGGUGAUCACGCCAUCCCGGGUUGUAUGUAUUGGAGAAAGGAUCAUUCCUUGGUUGGUUUUGAUUCCCAUAACCCACAGCAUUGGCCGAUUCCCAUCCUCCAUUCUCAAUUAAUUUAGGGCAUUGAUCAGAUUGGUGUCCUUGAAUGGAGCAUACACCACAGAUUGUAGUUCCUUGCGUUUUGGGGCCUUCAACCAACUGCGAUAACAUAGACGUAAGGUUAGCCAUUUGGGAUUGUAACUCAGAAAUAGAACUUACCUCAUUGACAUGAUGUGGCCGUGGGGUGUCUCUUUGCCCAACACCUUCAUAUUGUUGUGCAUUGAGUGCUCGAUUCGCAAUGAGAGUUUUGGCAUCCCUAGGUGUCUUAUCCACUAGAGCUCCUCCCGCGGAAGCAUCCAACAUUUGCCGUUCAAGUGGUAAAAGACCUUCGUAAAAGUAUUGAAGAAGUAACUCCUCCUUCAUCUGAUGCUGUGGACAAGAAGCAACAAGUGAUUUAAAUCGUUCAUAAUAAGAUGGAAAAGAUUCACCUUGGCUUUGCUGAAUUCCACUUAUUUUUUUUACGAAGAAGAAUGAUGCGAGAAGUUGGGAAAAACUUCUCCAGAAACGCCCUCUUCAUACUCUCCAAAGAUGUAACUGUACCGGGAGCCAACUCGUAUAACCAAUCCUUGGCUUUGUCCAUUAAAGAGAAUGGAAAAGCCUUCAUCUUUAAAAUACUUCCGUCAACGGUAACUGGAGUCAUACUUGAGCAUACCACUUCAAAUUCCUUCAAAUGUUUGUUCGGAUCCUCCAUGGACAGCCCAUGGAACUUUGGAAUGUGGUGGAGCAAACUUGACUUUAACUCGAACUCUUCAGUUUUACCUUGAGCAGCCAUGGGAUAUUGGAUACACAAUGGUGCGGCAUUAUCCAAACCCGAGGCGGCAAGCUCCUUGAGCGUACGGUUGUCCAUGGCUAUACCUUACUCUUCUCCACCCACUUGUGUCGUGGCCUUCUCUUCAACCUCAACUUCUUGCUCUUCUAAUUCAGGCUCGGGACUAGGAGGAUUAGACUCUUGCAAUUUCUUUUUCCUUCUCAAAGUCCUCUCAAAAUCACCGUCAAAGUCGGAGAUAUGCUCACGAACAGGUUGUGAGCUACGGGUCAUAAACUAGUACCUAAAAACAAAGAAAACAAAACAAAUCAGCAACUUAAACAGAAACUUAAACAAAAUACAAUAAUUCGAAAGAAAACAAUCCAAGAGAUUAGCAAAGUUGCUAAUCCCCGGCAACGGCGCCAAAAUUUGAUGCGUAAAAUAAGUUAACACACAAAAUUAAACCCUCUUUUUAUCAAAUGUAGUAAAGUAUGUAAGUAGGGAUCGUUCUAGGCCGGGGAUUAGGAGGGAUUGCUAAACACUUGAAAACUGACUUAAAAACAUAAAAACAAAAUUUAAAACACUAAACUAGACUCAAAGAAUGCAAAACUAUACUUUAAAAUACUUAAACAAACAUAAAACUCAAAACAGCAACCUAAUGACUCAAAACUGCCUUAAAAACCACUUUCUGGGCAGUUUUGAGAACCUAACAAGAACUUGGACGAAGUUGGAUGAAAACUUGAAUCAAAACACUUAGAAACACAAAUCAAAACACUUUCUAACUAAUCUAAGACUUCAAAAUAAAGGGGGAUUUGUUUUGGACGAAAAUUGAAAACAAAACAGAAACUUUAAAACAAAACAGAUUGUAAAACGUUUUUGGAUGAAAAGGAUGGAUAAAAGGCUAGUUAGGAGGUUCUUCUCCACACAUGACACAUUUGCAAACAAAAUGAUUUUCAGUUGUUCUUUCAAUAAAUUAUGAAACUCAACACCCCAAGUUAAUUAGAUACGCUUAAAUUAACCUUCAAGUUCUCCUUAAGUUAAUGAAUUGGAUGGGAAAGCGCAUACAACAAUUCAAAGCAUUCCUCGAAGGUUCCUUACGUGAUGAGCACAAUAAAGAUACAAUCAAGAAUCAUGGAGCACAAUGAGAACUAUAAGUGUUGACGAGGCAUUCGUUACUAUGAUGAGCAUGAAACUAGUGCCAAGAAUUCAUUCAACGCGAUCGUUUUCAAGCGACCUUCACUACUUGUGAUUAUAAGAUUGUAACUAUUAGGUGAAACUCCCUCAUAAUCUAGCAUUAUAUUCAUGCAUGAAAACUAAGCGUGCACUCUCAAUCAACAUACACAAAUAAGUUAUCAAUCAAGUAGAUGAACGAAUUGAAUCCGCAACUUAUGAAAUAACAACUGAAUGUAAUCAAAUCAUAUUGCAAGCAUGUACAUGGUUUCGAAUCACCCCCCAACUAAGGGGGUUUAGUUCCUCAUUCUUGCAAUACAAAGAUACAUAAAAUUAGACAUUAAAAUCAAAGGAAAGAAAAACACCUAAAAUGCUCCAACUUGGUAGCAAGUGCAUCCAAGAUUCCUCCUUUCCCUUGCUUGCGGCAUGAAGCUUGUGGACAGAUUUUUGGGUGGAUUUAUGGUGUAGAAUGGAUGGGGAAUUUUGUGGAAGGGUUUAGGGUGAGAGUGGAAGAGUGUUUGAUGGUUGGGGAGUGGUAGAGAACUAGGCAAAGAGGGUGGAAGAAGGUGGAGUGGCUGUUAUGUUUUCUAGGCACUAGAAUGGUGUUUUUGGGGUGUUUUGCUUCCUAGGGUGUGUAUGGACGAAUUUCUGUGAUAAAAUGAUGAAUAUAUGGGGGAUUGUUCUUUGGCCAAGGGGUGUAAACAUGUAUUUAUAGGCCCCAAAAACCUUAGAAAAUCAGGUUAGGUUAAGGAUGAAAUGCAUGGUAAUUUGUGUGUGUGGUGUGCAAUGGUCCAAGGGUGAAAAUGAAGUGAUGAUGCAAAGUGUGAAGGGUAAAAUGGAGUGGUCUUGAAGCUAGGGAGCAUGAAUGAUUGUGUACAUUGCAUAGAGAUGGAAAUGGAGGUGAAAAUGUGUCAAUAAAUGGGUCAAAGGUGCAGCAACAUGUGGUACACAAGGCAUGGGAUUCCAAAUGUGAAUGAUGGAGCAUCAAUUGGUGCAUGUAAUGGAUGUAAAUGUUGUCUAAAAUCUAAUAAGUGAAGGGAACAAGAGGUAUCAAGCAAUUGAGUGUAAUAAUUAAAUGAAUUGAAGCAUGAAAUUAGAAAUUAUGUAGGGGACAAGAGUGAUCAAGCAUGGCAUGGAAUCCAAAGGGAAUUCUAUGUGGUUUGCAUGGCAAGGAAUGCAAGUUGGGGUGACAGAUUUUUGGGCUAUUUUCUUCAUCUUUUGGACCAUAAUUCUUCAUAUUCUUGGCCUCUUUAGUUCUCAAAUUCGUCCAUCCACUUGGCCCAUGCAUUUGCUAUCCAUUCCAAGCCCGAAACAUGCUCCAAAGGCCUCCAAAAUGCAUCUUCUUGCAUACUUUGUACUUAGAGUCUGAAAACACACGAAAAUGACUUUAAACAUUAAAAUAACUAAGGAAACACGACAUAAAUGCACAAGAACAAGCCAACUAAGUCGCAUAAAUAUGCUCCUAUCAUUUAUCCACUGUAGAAGCAGAGUACCAUAAGUGCAUCAUAAGCAAUGACACAAGCUACUUGGAUUCGAUUUGGUCUAGAGGAUUUUGGUGAACUUUAAACUAUAACAACUCCUUGAAUUGUGAUAAUACAUCAACAGUUGUGAUCACUAGAAAUUCUAUAUUCCACCAGAAGACUAAGCACAUUAACAGAAGGUAUCACUUCAUUAAGGAAUCAUUGCAAAAGGGUGUCAUUGAUUUGGCAUAUUGUCCAACAAAGAAGUAGCUGGCAGACAUCUUUAUAAAGGCAUUGGCCAAGUGCCAAUUCUGCUACCUGAGGGAAAUUCUUGGAGUGAAAUCAAUGCACAAUUUAAAGGGGAAUGUUGAUAUAUAAAUUUGUAUAUUGAUUUAGUUUUAAUACAAGUGUCCUUAUUGUAUUGGAGAGUGGGUUAGAAUGUCUUACGAGCCUUAGAUAAGUCAUGUGUCUUUAGCUCAUAAGCUAAGAUAAGAGAAGGCAGAUAGUGAUUUCAACUUCUAACGGUUAUUUUGUACUGGCAUGAACUUAUAUGCUCUACGUGUGAAUGAAUGAAUAUAACAGCUCAGAGUCACAUUCUUUGAGCUAGACUUCCUUGCAUUUUUCAGCUCCCUGUUUGAUCCAAAUUCUAUGUUGCUUCCACAAUUAUUGUGUUUUAUUUAUACCUCUGCAUUCCAAAAGCUAACACCGGAUAGUAAGAGUGGUUCCCAGGUUUGGAAUGGAAGAAGUUUGAAUCCAAAGAGCUAAGAGAGUUAAUGGUAAUGUGCGGAGUGGAGGAGAAAGUUAAAGAGAUAGCAUACAAAAUGGUAAACGUAGCUUUGUGGUGUUCUCAAUAUAGGCAUGAGUCGAGGCCUUCGAUAAGCGUUCUGGUGAAAAUUUUGGAAGAAGAUAUUGCGAUUCCUAGACUUUCAACUAACCUUUUUCAGCACUUGAUGUUAGGCACUCCGUACCCCUAAUGUACCCGUCUACGAUUCUUCACUUGCAAGAAAUGGAACUAGCGCUUUGGAUUCAGAUUCCUCCCAAACUGUAACUGGAUAUAACAAUGUGCGUGCCACUUCUGUCAUGUGGAAAUACAAUAUUGAAAUAACGUCUACCUAGGUAAGUUGAUUUAAAUCCCUCAUGCUCUCUCUCUCUCUUGUGAAGUGUCAUAUAUUUGCGAUUGCGAGCUUUAAUACAAGGGUGCCAACUUUUUGUUUGAUUAAUAUACAGUCACUCUAUGUUGCUGCAAGCAGCUGCAUAAACUUUUCUGAUUAAUUUUAUGGAAAAGUACCUUCCUUGGCUUAUAAAUUAUAUAAGACAUAAAAAUGGUGUAGCCAUGUCGAUGUUUAAUUACUUCCAAUCAUGCUCGUAGCAUAGUAUCUGCCUCAUGAGUCGAUAUUAUACUAUAUAUUUUACUUUAUUCUUAGUUAUAAUUUAUUGGUUAUUUUGGUUGAAUUUUGAUACUUUGUUAUAUAUUUAACUUGUAGUACAUGCGAAUCUACUUGGAAAAAAAGAAGUGAUCAAAUGAAGACAUUUUGGAGUAAUUUCAAUUGGAGUGAUUUGAGUCUUUCAAGAUGAUUGUGUCAAAGUUCUAAAACUUAAUUCCAAGUUGUUUGACUGUGGCGAAGAAAAGAAGGCCCAUUGUGUAGCUUUUCCAGAUUGAUGUUUCUGGAUGUUUGGGCUUUUUGAAGGUCACAUAUUUUGAGGAAGGUUCCUUAUGAGGAUUUGUUGGGGACAUCGACCUUUUGAGACCAAAUUGAAGCUGAUUUGGUCAAUCAAAAGUUUGAUUUUCUCUACAGUCCAAAUUUUACUUUGAAUUGGAAACCCUUAUUUAUUAUUUUAAUUAGAUUUCCAAAUAUUAGAAGACCUUGUUUAUGUUGGAUAAGGAAUAAAACACUAUAUUUAUAGUGUAGCCGUGUAUUAGGGUUCUCUGCACACUCUUUUGGAGGAUUCGGCAUAGCUUUUCGAUUUUGUAUUUCGAUUAUUAGAUGUUUUCUGUCCUUUUCUUCUUAAUAAUAUUUUGUUUUCUUACAACCCAUACCAAUCAAACUUUUCAACCAUACAAAUCAACUUUUCAACCCAUACCUUUCAUUUAUUCAACACUCUUUAAGAUUUUGAAUUUUUCAACAAUAACCAACCCCCAUUCUCACCUACCAAAACCAGCCAACCCUACAAGUAGGAUACUUUUGGGGCUUUUAUGCAAUUACAUAAAGUUUUGAUACUUUUGUGUAUUUGUGCUUUGACCCGAAAGUUUACGUUUUUAUGUAAAGGCCCAAAAUCACUAAAGGACAAAUUGUUUUGCUCCUUUAAUGAAGUUUUUGUUUUUGUUGAAUUUUUUGGGUUCUAGUUGUAAUUGCAUGAAGUAGUGGACUUUUGUGUUUUUACAAAGUGACCUCAAAAGUCUGUGUUUUGCAAUAUAGCCCAAUGGUUGAGGUUAUUGCUUUUUGGCCCAAAUUAGUUGAGAACAAAAUAGUUUUGUAUCUUUAAAUGAGAAUUGGAUUUUCAUUUCAUUUAGCUCCAUCUAAAUCAAUUCUAUGGAAACAAAAACCAAAUGACUGUUGGAAAUGUGCCCUAAAACCAAUUAUAUGAUGAUACUUUACGGAUAUUUCACAUGUUAAACUAAUAUAGUUUAAUUUAAAGGGCAAAGAUUAUUGUUUGCUGUCUCAUAUAAAUGUUAUACGCUUAAACGAUAAGUCCAAGGAAUAUGUAAUUGGGAGAAUAUGAUCUAAGGAAGUUAGAUUCAUGAGACCAUUCUUUUUUGUAUACAUAUCCUAAACGUUCCUCAUAGGAUUGCCAAUUGGGCAUUGACAAUCCGUUAAGAUCAAUACGUGCUAUGUCUUCUCUUAGGGAGAGUGAUUGGUCUCGAGUCAUUGGUGUGACUAACACCAAGACAAGUACGUAGGUGCUCAAUAGAGAAUGAGUUCACUGAACGCGAUUAACAAGGAGUUCUCAUACUCAUGUCACAUGAGAACUCAUGGUUGGGUCUUUGAUCUUUGAGUAUACUCAUUUAACCUGAGGCAUCAUAAUUGUCUUGUGGUUAGGUCCUUGAUCUUUGACUAUGUCAAAGUCACUCCGUCAGAGGGUGUCCACGACAUAGUUGGGGUUAAGCCACUUAGCUAUGGAGGCAAGUGAAUGCGCAACAAGGGAUCUCUAACCUUUAAACCGUUUGAGGGAGAAUACUCUAUGAUAUGAUUAAGAAUCUCUGGCCAGAGUAUGAAUGAGAUUUAGGAAAUCGUUCCAAAUCAUAUUCAAGGUAAUCAUACAAGUAAGAGAAUCACAUUGGAGAGUAGACAUGAAUAAACUAUCAAACCAAACAAUGUGGUCAAGAGUAUUGUAUUAGAGAAAGACCGUAUUGCAUUGUAAUCCUAAACUGAAUAGGUUCUCCACCUCUUCUAAUUAGCUUGGGUAACCAUGACAUACUGCUAGGUGUCACUCAUGGUUUGUGGAAGCCCUAAACGUGUAUAAUCACUAAAGGGAGAAUUGAAAGUAAGUUUCAAUUCACAAUCGAUUUGAAAGAGUUCUAAUCGCCCACUGCCUCGCUAAAAGGAACCUAAUGGAUCGUACACCGUGUAAGGUAGAGAUUGAAGAAACAACGGAGAUGAGUAAGGAUAAUUAAAUGGUUUAAUUAUUUAUGGCAAUGAUUAAUUAAUAUGUUAAUUAAUCAAACGAAUAAAGUUCGUUAAAGACCUCGGGUUAGUUUUGGGCCUCAAGGCUCAAUGGGCUUUGAAUGUCAAGCCCAUUGACUUAAGUUGCAUGACAACUUAAUGACUAAUAAUUCACAAAGGCCCAAACAUCCCAAUAAAACCCUAUGGCCGGUCAUAUUGAUAAAGGAGUGGGUUUUGGACUUAUUACAAGUUUGCCACUCCAAUGAAGGUAAGUAUAAAUGUGACUUUAUAGCCUUUUCUUCAUUAGGGUUUCUUUUGGAGAAAAGAUGAGAACACAAUGUCUCUCCCUUUCUCUCUAGGAGGCCAGCCCCCUUGGAGGAGAUUAGCUAGCAAUCUUCCCUCCUCCAAGGUCACUCAUCUCUUCUUCGAGUCUCUCCUUGGUGUGGAAAAAUUAGAGGUUCUCAACUUUGGGAACUUGGAGAAUCCUUUCAACCAUCCUCAUCCAAGAAAUCCAUGGAGCUAAGAAGCAAGGAAUGAAGGCCCUCUCCUUGGGUGAUUAGCCUUUGCUUAUGCAAAGAGGAAUCAACAAAGGUAUAAGAUUUCUCAACUCACUUUGUUCUUGAGUUGAGUCUUGGUUCACCCUUCUACUAGGCUUUGAAUUUCAUGGUUAAUGUUUUGUUUUUGAGUGCAUACAAGCAUGAUUCCGCCUUUAAUUGUUAAUUGCAUGCCAUAGAUGUUGCUCAAAUGAACAUGUUUUUAACAAAAUUUCCUUAAAUGACAAUGUCACAUUCAAGUUUAAUUAGUUAAAGCGUUAAUUAAUUAAAGGGUGAUUAUGAACCUAAGCCUACGAUAAUUGAGCUAUGUGAAAGACUGUCUCUCAAAUUUGUUUGAACCAUGGGAAUGUGUAGAUUAGAUUUUGGUUGCAAUUUGAUAUGAUCAAAUGUGUAAAAGAGCAUAAGCUCUUCUUUACUUUAAAGUAAUUUGUUUUGAUCAAAUGUUGUAAAAGAGCAUAAGCUCUUCUUUACUUUAAAGUACUCUUUUUCUUGUUUUAUUUGAUAUGCAUGAAAUUGGAGUAACUAAAAUCAAUCGACAUCCCUAGACCGAGAUCCAACACUAGGCUUGUGUUGGAUCGAAUCAAAGGUUCAUGGUCAUCCUAAGGCCCUAAGGAAACUAUAUAGUCUAUCAAUGAAUGCAAAGCUUAUGUUAGUAGCACCAUAUACUCUUGCUUUAAAAACCAUUUUACAAGCAUAGUGGGAGUAUCAUACUACUAAAUCAAUCACAAGGACCAAUAGUUGUAAUAGGACCAAAUUGUUUUAAUAAGAUUAAAAUGCAUGCUAAUAUGUGAUGAGACCUAAAGACCCUCAACCAAACAAUUAUUAAGUUGACAAGAGUGAGAGUGCUUUGAACACUUUUUUGUGGCCUUCCACCGUGGUAGGCUCCAAUCGUUUGUGACUCGUACACUGACUUCACCCUAUCAUGGGGGAGUACAAAGUGCGUGCUUACACUCAGGAGGAGUCCUAUACGCAUACAUGAUGUUGUGAAGGUAGGCAACGAGAAUGAUCAACAUCAUAUCAUUGUGAGGUUGAUCCCCCUACCUGAACUUGCAUGGUGGGAAUGACUUAACUAAGUGCAAUGGAGCCAACAUCAUAUCAUUGUGAGGCAUCAUUCUCUAGAGGACAAAUAAGAUGGGUACUUGCAAGAGAUGCAAAUGAGCAAGCAUACUCUCUUAUUAUUAUUGAUGUUAGCCAACAUUAUAUCAUUGUGAGGUGAGCUUGGUAAUAGUGAGCGUCCCAUCCCCUACUAAGAGUUUCCUCCAAAAACUCUCGAAUUCCGAUUAGGGAUAUGGAAUUUGCCAAAAAUAGUGGGUGAUGCUAUUUGAUUUAAAGACCGAGAUCAAAUAGCUUAAAAUCAAUCAAUUUAUAUUCGUUAUGUAUUUAUUUACCGAUAUAUUUGCAAACGCUAUCCAAAACUUGAUAAAGAAAAGCCGAAGGCUUUAGUUUCCAGACGUGGUGCCACAAUCCCAUAGAUUGUCUUGAAUGGAUUGUAUAUGUACCUCAGUAGUCUUAUCCUCACAAUCUUCCUAUUGAUAAUGUAUCAUUGGAAGAACAUGUUAGAUAAGUCUAUCAUAAAGAGGACAACACUUUUAGUGUCGUAAUUCUUCACUUACAAAUCGUUGUAUGAAGAAAUAAGAAUUGCUUUGAACAACCCUUAGUUAACGCAAACACUAGUGCUUGUUACUUUGUUAAAUGAACAAGGAACUUGAGAAGUAAGCACAAGGGCAUGGACACUUUAUGUGCUAUGAUUCUUCACUUACAAAUUGUUGUAUGAAGAAAUAAGAGUUGCCUUGAACAAUUCUUGAAAGUUUGUAAUUAUGUUUAGAACAUAAUGGUUGAUUGACAAAAAAUAGUCCAUCAACAUGGACUUAUGAUGAUUUUCAAUAAUUGAGUGUUGAAGUGUUAAACCACUUCAAGAGACGGAAACUAGGCAAGGACUUCACCUUUGUGUCCCUAUCCAAAUGGUUCACUAAGUUUAUUGUAAACUAUAUAGUGAAUAUUAAUUGCACACUCUCCAAAUUGUUUGAUGUGUAUAACACAAUUGAAAUAAGUUUCAAGAGAGAUAAUGGGAGUUUAGGGACCAUGACUAUUGUAGUCAAAGGAGAAGUCAAAUGAAGAAGGCGAAAAACUCUAAGGGAACAAACUUUCUUUAUGAAAGGAUGGACAUUGGAAGGGGUAUUUGCAAGAAAUGUCUUGUAAGUGUCAAGAACACACCUUUUGAAGGUGUUGAAAAUUGUUCUUGAAUGAGUUCAAAACAGUUGGUUCUUCUACUUGAAUGCUUGUUUCCGUAUUAAUAACUAUGUUUUACAAUAGUUGUUAUUUGUACCAUACUUAGGGCCUCCGUAUUUAGACCUCGUAUAAAUACUCGGGGGACACAAAUGUAAGUAUGUAAUAAAUGAAAGGGCAAAUAUGUAAUAAGUGAGGAGCCCUUAUUUUAUAAAAGGACCCCUCACUCUCCUCAUUAGGGGAGCCUCCUCACCCCCAGAGAGGCCAAUUUCUUAGGCUUGAGAACUCUCUCACAUUUAGAGAAGCUCAUCCUCACAUAAGGAAGCUCUCUCUCUCUCUCUCUCACAAUCCUCUCAGAGAAAUACAAUAUCAGUGUGGACGUAGCCCAAACAUUGGGGUGAACCAUGAUACAUCUUAUGUUAUUUACUUUCUUGCAGAUUCACGGUCGGAUUUACGUUGUUCCAAAACCCCUCUGGUUUUGUGCAUCAACAUUUGGCGCCGUCUGUGGGAACCGAUACGAAAGGUUGUGUUGGUUCUAUUUCAUUUUUUCACCUUCGCCAUGAAUCUGCAAAACCCACCUGAGAAAUAAAGGGGAUAUAAGGAUGAAGAGGAGGGAGAAGAAAAUCCAAGCUCAAAAAGAAGAUCGAACUCCUCCUCUACAGCCAUGUGGGACAUUCCCCUUCUGGGAAACGACGAAAAGGCCGACGUUGUCCUCCUUAAGUUCCUCCAUGCCAUGAGUUCCUGCUGUGGUUCCAGAUCCAGGCCACCCAUGCGCUCACUCUCACUUCGCCUCAUGUGGGCUUAAAAGUUAAAAUGAUGACAAAGAUAUACUAAAACACCACCUCUCACCGUCGGAUGUGGCCGGGAGACCAAACAAGGCUCCGUCGUUUUCUUCUCCCUAUAAACAUAUGAGCCUCUGUCGUUAUCUUCUGACACAUCGUUUUUGCCUUCACAAUUCGAUCAAAUAAUGGCAUCCCCAGCUUCGUUGCCGCAGGAAGUGAAGCCAUAUGUAUCUGUUUCACCUGCUGGUGGUGCUUCAACACAAACUGCUACUUCACCUGCUUCAAGUGUAGGCCCAACAACGUCUAAUAGCCCAUGUGGUUAUGUGAAUGAUUCAGUACAAGAACCUUUGCAGACUAAAUUUGGCAAUGCACCCAACUUUACUAUUCCAGCACCUUCAUUCUCUUACAAUGUGCCUCAUAAUGCAAACAUUAGUUUUGGGACGUCUCAUCAGUUAUCACCUAGCUCUGCAAUUAAAUCAAAUCCACCAGCACCUCCAAUGGUUUAGGCCUUAGUGCAUGGCUUGUCGUCUUCAGCUAGGCCUCAUUUUUUAUACAACAUUCCGAAAUCGUAAAGUUUGGAUCUGAGAUCCUGCGAGCCUCGUCGAGUUUCGACCACCUGAAUUGGAAUCAUUAGUUUCGGAGCUCUGAAACGCACCGUUUCUCUCCUCUCGUCGACUUCGAGUUCUCCGACAAUGAAGGGGUCCGGUAGUCUGGUUGUGUCGGUGGUCGUCGUUUCGACGGUGGCUCUGACAACAUCACCGUCCAACCAGGGUUCUUUUUCCUCGGCGACGAAGAACAACUGACAAAAUUUGAAUUCGGCGUCGGAUAAGGAUAAAUUCGAGCGGAGAUUCGACAGGUUGAGGUUCAUUGAGACGCUGGUGACGACGCACAGAUGAUUAAUUUGACGUCGGAACUAUGGAGUUAAUUGUCAGCCCCGCGAUUAGAAUUCAAAGGAUUUGAUGGGGCCCUUUGUUGAGCAGCCUGAGUACAAUUUGCUCUCCAGGCACAAGGUUCCCUUCAUCUGCAAGUGCAAUGGAUGCUCUCUGAGUCGGCUAGGGCUGGGGUCAAGGCCAGCAGUGAUUGGGUCAUGGACAGCAUGGGCAAAGGGACAAGAUAAGAUUCUUCAUCAUGAACCUGCCCAUUUUCUGAAAACCAACUGUCGACCACCAAUUUCUGAAUCAUGCAUGUUCCUAUUUUCUGAAAAAAUAAAAAAGAAAAGCAAAAGAAGAAAGCAAAAGAGAAAGCAAAAGAAGAUAAAAAGAAGCGGGCAUAAUUGAAGUGGUGAUGGCAUGCAGAAAAGGGAAUUAUGGGCAUGACCCAUUAAGCAGAGGAUCAAAUUUAUUUUUGAAUGAUGUAAUUUAUUUUCCUUAUCUUUCGGAAACAUCUGUAUAAACCCCAUUAGAGGGUAAUAAAAAAAAACGGCAAGCCUAAAAUAAUGGACUGGAAUGUUAUGUGGAGGGCGAAGGCCCAUAUGCCCAAAAGAGCCAGACCCUCUAUUAUCACCAACCAGGUGAUCAAAAGUACGCCCAGUACUACAAAAUAUUAUUCGGCAGCCUGCCGCUAUUAUCACCAACCAGGUGAUCAAAAGUACGCCCAGUACUCCAAAUUUAUUCGGCAACCUGCCGCUAUUAUCACCAACCAGGUGAUUAAAAGUAUGCCUAAGUACUCCAAAAUUAUUCGACAACCUGCCGCUAUUAUUACCAACCAGGUGAUUAAAAGUACGUCCAGUACUCCAAAAUUAUACAUGACCAUCAUUCAUAUCAACAUUUAUGAGCAUCAUUCAUGAGCAUCACUCAUGUCAACAUUCAUGAGCAUCACUUAUGUCAACAUCCAUAAGCAUCACUCAUGUCAAUCAGCUUCAAAAGCUUCAUUUACAGAGCUCCAGCUUCAAAAGCUUCAUUUACAAAACUCCUGCUUCAAAAGCUUCACUUGCAAAGCUUCACUUACAAAGCUUCAGUGCAGGGUAUACAAAUACCGCCUCCGAACAACCGCCACUUUGGCCCAUACAUGGAUUCAAUUUGAAGUCUCCAGCCAACAAACUCUAUUGACCGAAGACUUGGGGGACUACAUUAUGUACCAUAUAUUGGGCCUCAACUGGGCCUCAUGAAAAAUACUUGGGGGACUCUAGCCCAUAUUUAUGUAUUGAGGAGCGAGCCCUUAUUUUAUAAAAGGGACUCCCUCACCAUCAUUAGAGAGCAUCAACUCUAGCCCAUUAUUCAUGUAUUGAGGAGCGAGCCUUUAUUCUAUAAAAGGGACUCCCUCACCAUCAUUAGAGAGCAUCGUCGCCUACUGAGCAACCGCUUCGCUGCGAGCAUCAACUCUAGCCCAUUAUUCAUGUAUUGAGGAGCAAGCCCUUAUUCUAUAAAAGGGACUCUCUCACCAUCAUUAGAGAGCAUUGGCACCUACUGAGCAACCGCGUCGCCGCGAGCAUCAACUCUAGCCCAUAUUUAUGUAUUGAGGAGCGAGCCCUUAUUCUAUAAAAUGGACUCCCUCACCUUCAAACACCACAAGACGAGCCAACCAAGGCAACAUAAGCCAAGCAGAGCAGCCUCGCAACAUGUGGUUGAGCAUCAUUUCCGAUUGGGCACCGCCUCAUAUCGAGUAUCAAUUCUAGACGACAUCUAGUUACUUCGGCCCACGGAUGGACUGAAUUUCAAGUCUCCAGCCAAAAGACUCUCUUGACUGAAGACUUGGGGGACUACUGUUUGUACCAUACUUAGGGCCUCUGUAUUUAGACCUUGUAUAAAUAUUCGGGGGACUCAAAUGUAAUUAUGUAAUAAGUGAGGAGCCCUUAUUCUAUAAAAGGACUCCUCACUCUCCUCAUUAAAGGAGGCCAUUUCUUAAGCCCCCUUAUCCUCUUAAAGCUCUCAUCCCAAGGGAUAACAGAAAAGCUCUCUCUCCCUCUUCAACAUCUUAGAGAAAUACAAUAUCAGUGUGGACGUAACCCAAACAUUGGGGUGAACCACGAUACAUUUUGUGUUAUUUACUUUCUUGCAGAUUCAUGGUCGGAUUUAUGUUGUUCCAAGACCCCUCCGGUUUUGUGCAUCAACAUUUGUAAAAGUGUGGCUAAUAAGAAGUGGAAGAUUAAUGAGAGAAGAGAAAGUACUUAACAUUCGAAACGUGAAUAAAAUAUAGAUCUUUGUGAAAGCAUAUAAUACUUACUUCCUCAUAUGUGUUGGAAAUGUGCCCUAAAGCCAAUCAUAUGAUGAUACUUUACGGACAUUUCACAUGUUAAACUAAUCUAGUUUAAUAUAAAGGGCAAAGAUUAUUAUUUGAGCCGUCUCAUAUAAAUGUUAUAUGCUUAAACGAUAAAGUCCAAGGAAUAUGUGAUUGGGAGAAUGCGAUCUAAUGAAGUUAGAUUCAUGAGACCAUUCUUUCGUAGACACAUCCUAAAUGUUCCUGAUCAUAGGAUUGCCAAUUGGGCAUUGACAGUCCGUUAAGAUCAGUACGUACUGUGUCUUCUCUCAGGGAGAGUGACUAGUCUCGAGUCAUUGGUGUGUGUGACAUCAAGACAAGUACGUAGGUGCUCAAUAGAGAAUGAGUUCACUGAACACGAUCAACGAAGAGUUCUCAUAUUCAUGUCACAUGAGAACUCAUGGUUGGGAUAAUGCAAAGUAGUCCUUUGACCUGAGGCAUCGUCGUUGUCUUGUGGUUAAGUCCUUGAUCUUUGAUUAUGUCAAACGUCAUUCCAUUGGAGUGUCCACGGCAUCGUUGGGGUUAAGCCACUUAGCCAUGGAGGCAAGUGAAUGCGCAACAAGGGAUCUCUAACCUUCAAACUGUUUGAGGGAGAAUACUCUAUGAUAUGAUUUAGAAUCUCUGGUUAGAGUAUGAAUGAGAUUUAGAAAUGUCGUUCUAAAUCACAUUCAAGGUAAUCAUAUAAGCACACGAAUCACAUUGGAUAGUAGACAUGAAUAAAUAAACUAUCAAACCAAACAAUGUGGUCAAGAGUAUUAGAUUAGAGAAAGACCGUAUUGCAUUUGUAAUCCUAAACUGAAUAGGUUCUCCACCUCUUUUGAUUAGCUUGGGUAACCAUGAUAUGCUGCUAGGUGUCACUCUUGGUUUGUGGAAGCCCUAAACGUGUAUAAUCACUAAAGGGAGAAUUGAAAGUAAGUUUCAAUUCACAAUCGAUUUGAAAGAGUUUGAAUCGCCCACUGCCUCGCUAAAAGGAACCUAAUGGAUCGUACACCGUGUAAGGUGGAGAUUGAAGAAACAAUGGAGAUGAGUAAGAAUAAUUAAAUGGUUUAAUUAUUUAUGGCAAGGAUUAAUUAAUAUGUUAAUUAAUCAAACGAAUAAGUUCGUUAAAGACCUCGGGAUAGUUUUGGACGUUUAGGCCCAAUGGGCUUCAAACGUCAAGCCCAUUGACUUAAGUUGUAUGACAACUUAAUUCACAAAAGCCCAAAAGCCCAAACAACACCCUAAGGCCGGCCAUAUGGUUAAGGGUAGUGAACUUGGACUUAUUUACAAGUUUGCCACUCAAAUGAAUAAAGGUAUAAAUAUGACUUUAUAGCCAAAAUUCAUUUAAGGGUUUGUUUUAGAGAAAAUUGGAGAGAACAUGUCUCUCCCUUUCUCUCUAAAGAGGCCGGCCCCCUUUGAGGGUGCAUCUAGCAAUCCCACUACUCCAAGGUCACUCAUUUCUUCUCCAAUCUAACCUUGGUGAAGAGACUUAGAGGUUCUCAAUUUUGGGAACUUGGAGAAACCUUUUCAUCCAUCCAAAUCCAUUUAAGAUGCAAGGAAUGAAGGCCCUCUCUUUGGGUGAUUAGCCUUUGCUUAUGCAAAGAGGAAUCUACAAAGGUAUAAAUCUCCACUCACUUUGUUUUGAGUUGAUUAAUGGUUCACCAAUCUACUAGGCUUUGAAUUUCUUGGUUAAUGUUUUGUUUUUAAGUGCAUGCAAGCAUGAUUCCGCCUUUAAUUGUUAAUUGCAUGCUUAUUGAUGUUGCUUAAAUGAACAUGUUUUCACAAAAUCAUCCUUCAAUAUGAACUACCAAAGAAAUUGGAAAACCAAAGAUUGUCUUUACAUUCCAAUUUGAAUAAGGAAAUUAAUUCCGUCACUAUAAGAGAUGGAUGAAUGUUUUGUUUGACAAAACAUUAUUCUUUAUUAAUGAAUGAUUGGAUUAUUGUAAUCUAAUUGAUUGUCUCUAUGGUAGAGAUGAUGUGGUAGUGUUAACUGUUUAGAAUAUAACAAUGCUUAAAACCCAAAAGGUUGCAAGGUAGUAACUAAUCUCACUGAGUUGUGACACCUCUAAAACAGAAAUUACAAGUUGGUCAUAAAUGGAUGCUUUAGAUCAUUAGAUCCGGAUCCAAUGCAUUCUUGUUAAAUUGUAUAGAGGCGAAAUGUUCGAAUAUUUAUUCUUUUGGAAAGAAUAAAGAAUCACAAAGUUGUUGAGGUUAAUUCACUUAGAUGUUAGUGGCACUUGUCCACAACAUAAUACUACUCAUGUUGUAUGACAUUUACCGAAGAUCGUUCUCAGUUGGACUAUCGUUUAUUUUUAAUAAACACAAGUCCAAAUUCUUUGCAAAAGGUUUCAAAGAAUUCAAGAAUGUAAGUUGAUGAGUAAGAUGUCUAAAGAAUUUAUCUCCUUAGAUUUGAUCCAAGGAAAAAUAACAUUUUAGAAGAGUUUCCUUGAAAGAUAUCAAGGAAAGUAGCAUCAUAAGAUAAUGGAUUUCUCCAUUGGGAGAAGAACGAACUCGAAUAAGAUUUAGUUCGUUGGAUGUUAUCAAAUACCCAUAUAUAGGAUAUAUACUUCUAAGACAAUAUGACUGUCAAUUAGAAGAUCCUCCAAAAUUUUCAUGACUCCGUAGGAUGUAGUUGGAAAGAAAGACAAGUCUUAAGCGUGUUAAGAUUUGGGGUUGUGUGCUAAUAAGCAAUAUUUGUUUGAGAACAAUCUUGUGGGAUAUCCUUAAAUUAACCUUUGGAUAUCACUUCUAUAAACCAACUAACAAAUGUUGUUUGUUGGGUAGUUCAUUGUAAUCCUACACUAGGAUUUGCCUAUGAGCAAAUGAACGAGAGAUGGAACUCAAGGAAUGGGUUCUUUGAGAGACAAGAUGAUGAUCAACAAAUAUUACAACCUAGUUCCUACAUCACAAGCUCCAAGGUAGUCGAGAAAGAUUUAUAAACCGUCUCAGUUGAAUGGUUUGAACUUUAUGACUAUGUCAUAGAGUUACACCUCUUAAUUCAAAAGAAAUAAGAAUGAAAAUCCUUAUGACUACAUUGAGUGUAUUCACGACAUAUACUCAAGGAAAUGAUAUAGUACCAUUUGACUUGAAAUAAUGAAACCUUCAUAGCUAAAUGGUAGCUUAAGGUGACUACAAUCAAUGAGAUUGGUUGACUUGGAAGAAACCAUCUUUGAUGUAGUCUUGGUUUCUAUUAAUUCGAAGAUCGCUAGCUACAACUAAAUGGUGAUUCAAUGUUAGGACAUAAUAUGGGUUUCCAAAACCAUUAUCAAGAUAGUCUUGAUAAUAUAUGUCUAAGACUAAAAAUCACAAGACAUGUAAGUGGUAGAGAUCGAUCCAUCAUGAAUCUUAGCAAGCUAGUGGGAGCUAUAAGCGUCUUAUGAGAAAAAGAUCAAAUCGUUUGAUUUCUCAUAAAGAUGUAAAUGAAUCUUUUGUUUACUAGGUUUACAAAAGAUUAGUGGGAGUUAAUCAUAUUCCUAAAUUUGAACAUAUAUAUGAUAUAUUAAUUUUAGGAAUUCUUCUUCGUUAAAGUUAUGAUUUUAAACAUUUUAUAACGAUAGAAUGUAUAUGGGAGACAUAGUCUAUAUACAUGGGAUGGACAACUAUAAUGAUAGAUUUCAGGAUAUAAUUGGAUUAUAUCAAGCCCUAAUGAAAGACAAGAUGUUAGGAAGUUUCUCAUAUGAUGAUAAACUUCAAUUAGAAGGACAACUCUAGUGAGACUAGGAAGUUACUCUUCUCAAAGGGAACGUACCCUUUGACUCCCAAAGAAAUAAUGCAUAAAUACAAUCCUUUAUGCAUACGUAGAAAGGUGAUUUAUGUAUUUCAUAUUGUAUGGAAAAUAUUGAUAUGAGUUGUACCUAGAACGGUACAAGAUGAUAUUAAUGCAAGCCCAGGAUCAGAACCAUGGCAACCGUCAAGUGAGUCCUUAAGUAUUUAAGAAAUACUAAAGGAUAGAUUCCUCAAGGAUGAGGAAGAAUUAGAGUAACGCAAAGGAAGCAUAAAUGUAUUAGAUUAUGAAUCUAAUAUCGUAUCCAACAUUGGAUGUCUCUUCAUUUUGAAUGAAGAGACAAUAAGAUAUCUCUUUAUUAUGACUAAAGAGAUAUUUGGGUGGAAACGUUAAAACUAAUGACUUUAGUGUGUUCCAUCAUGCAAAAUAUAUCACCAUAUAGAAGCUUACAACAAUGUUGUUUGGAUGGGAAAGUUCAUUUAUGAACUCUUUAUUCGGUUCCAACCAGAAAGUGUCUCUAAUGUAUUGACACUACGACAUUAAUGGGGAGAUAGCUCAAGCCAGGGAAUCAAGGUCUCAUCAAGAUCCGAACUCAAAUAAGAGACUGACCCACAUGAUUGAGAAUCAUGUAUAAUGGUGACAUCGUUAUUCUCAAGAUUGCUUCUAUGGAUAACAUAUAGACAUCUGUUGUCUAGGCCUACUACUCAUCCAAUUUUGAAAUGAAUUUAGAAGAGGUAUCAUCACUGAUAACCAAGUUGAUUGGCUCUAGUGCAAGUGGGAGAUUGUUGGAAAUGUGCCCUAAAUCCAAUCAAAUGAUGAUACAUUAUGAACAUUUCACAUGUUAAACUAAUCUAGUUUAAUAUAAAGGGCAAGAUUAUUGUUUGAAGCCGUCUCAUAUAAAUGUUAUAUGCUUAAACGAUAAGUCCAAGGAAUAUGUAAUUGGGAUGAUGUGAUCUAAAGAAGUUAGAUUUAUGACACCAUUCUUUGUUGUAUACAUAUCCUAAAAGUUCCUAAUCAUAGGAUUGCCAAUUGGGCAUUGAUAGUCCAUUAAGAUCAGUAUGUGCUAUGUCUUCUCUCAGGGAGAGUGACCAGUCUCGAGUCAUUAGUGUGGCUGACAUCAAGAUAAGCAUGUAGGUGCUCAAUAGAAAAUGAGUCCACUGAACAUGAUCAACAAGGAGAUCUCAUACUCAGGUCACAUGAUAACUCAUGGUUGGGAUAAUGCAAAGUAGUCAUUUGACUUGAGGCAUCAUAGUUGUCUUGUGGUUAGGUCAUUGAUCUUUAACUAUAUCAAAGUCACUUCGUCAGAGGGUGUCCACGACAUAGUUGGGGUUAAGCCAUUUAGCCAUGGAGGCAAGUGAAUGCACAACAAGGGAUCUCUAACCUUCAAACCGUUUGAGGGAGAAUACUCUAUGAUAUGAUUAAGAAUCUCUGGCCAAAGUAUGAAUGAGAUUUAGGAAGUCGUUCCAAAUCACAUUCAAGGUAAUCAUAUAAGUAAAAGAAUCACAUUGGAUAACAAACAUGAAUAAACUAUCAAACCAAACAAAGUGGUCAAGAGUAUUGUAUUAGAGAAAGACCGUAUUGCAUUGUAAUCCUAAACUGAAUAGGUUCUCCACAUUUUCUGAUUAGCUUAGGUAGCCAUGACAUACUGCUAGGUGUCACUCAUGAUUUGUGGAAGCCCUGGUAAUCUUCAUCAAAGGGAGAAUUGAAAUUUGUUUCAAUUCACAAUCGAUCGUUAAGAGUAACAAUCGCUCACUGCCUCCCUAAAAGGAACCUAAUGGAUUGUAUACCUUGUAAGGUAGAGAUUGAAGAAAUAACGGAGAUGAGUAAGAACAAUUAAAUGGUUUAAUUGGUUAUGGCUAGGAUUAAUUAAUAUGUUAAUUAAUCUAACGAAUAAGUUCGUUUUAGACCUCGGGGUUAGUUUUAGGCCUCAAGGCCCAAUGGGCUUCAAAUGUCAAGCCCAUUGACUUAAGUUGUAUGACAACUUAAUGAAUAAAGAUUCAAGAGGGCCUAAACUGUCCAAAGACCAUAGAAGGCCAGCCAUAUUGAUGAAAUAGGGUUUUGGUUCUUUUUGUCACUUAAGUGAAGUGACUAUAUAAAGAACUUUAUAACCAAAAUUCAUUAAGGGUUCUUUUAGAGGAAAUUGGAUAGAACAAGUCUCUCCCUUUCUCUUUAGGAGGCCGGCCCCUUGGAGGAUAUUAGCUAGCAAUCUUCCCUCCUCCAAGGUUACUCAUCUCUUCUUCUAGUCUGUCCUUGGUGUGGAGACUUAGAGGUUCUCUAUUUUGGGAACUUGGAGAAUCCAUUCUACCAUCCUCAUCCAAGAAAUCCAUAGAGCUAAGUAAGGAAUAAAGGCUCUAUCUCUUGGGUGAUUAGCCUUUACUUAUGCAAAGAGGAAUUAACAAAGGUAUAAUAUUUCUCAACUCACUUUGUUCUUGAGUUGAGUCUUGGUUCGCCACACUCACUAGGCCUUGAAUUUCAUGGGUAAAGUUUUGUUUUUAGUGUAUACAAGCAUGAUUCCGCCUUUAAUUGUUAAUUGCAUAUUAUAGAUGUUGCUCAAAUGAACUUGCUUUCACAAAUAUUUCCUUCACGUAUGUAGGAGCGUGUUGUUCGUGUAUGUAGGAGCGUGUUGAGAUUGAAGCUUCAGCAUAAAAGGUACACACGUCCUUUUGAAUUUAUUUAUAAUUUCCAACAAUGGUAUUAGAGCCACUCACACACUCCUCGCAUGAAAGCAUGAGAUAUAUAUAUGAAUAUGCCAUGUAUGAAAACCUUGAUAGCAUGAGAUAUAUAUGAAUAUGCCAUGAAUGCUUGUCUUUAAAAUUGUCGUUUUUUCCAUGCUUAUUUUUUCUGGGUUUUAACGAUUGGGUUAUGUUCUUUACAUUCAUAUGAGACUAUUGAAGGGAAAAUAAUGAGAUUCAUGUGGGAUUUCUAGUGACUAGCAUGCAUAUACAAUUCAAAAUUUAUACAUAAGCAACGGAAGCAUGUUAUCACAUAAUAUCAAAGCUAUAGUCAUGCAAAUCCCCUUCAAGAUGCAUAGGUUUAUAUAAGAUGCAUCAAAACAUUUUAGUGAAGAACAAAGUGUAGGUUUAGUUUUCUACCUCUUGAUCUAGACUUUAGACCAAAGAUGGACCACCUCCAAGCCCUUUGUUCCUUGAACUCCUUGAGCCUAGCCUCCCUCCUUGCCUCCUCCACUUUGUUAGAAUGAGUGCUCCUUGGUUCUCCUUUAGUCUCCAAGAUUGAAGACCUCUAAAGAUCCACACCCACUAGUGUAGUGAGAUGGAUGGAGGAAUAACCAAAAGGGAGAGAAGAUGAUUAGCUAAAUCUCCCUUAUGGUGGCCGGCCUUGUGUGGUUUUAGAGAGAGAGAUGUUUUCUUCCUUUUGUGAAAACAACACACAAAACCCUAAUGAAUUUUUCACUAUAAAGUUCCUUUUAUAAUACAAAGAAACAAGUCAACAACUUGACUUCCUCUCUCUCCCUUUCCCUUUAUUUGGCCGGCCCCCUUUAGUGUUGUUUGGGCUUUGGGCUUUUAUUAUUUCAAGUCAUCCUAUGCUUAAAUAAAAGCCCAAUGGGUUUGGGCGUAAUGGGCCCAUAUUAACCCGAACUUUUCUUUAAGCCCAAAACGAUCUUUUAUCGCUUUUAUGAUUUCUUUAGACUUUCUAAUUAAUCACAACACUUAAUUAAUCCAAUUAAUUAUUUACAUCAUCCAUUAGUUACUCACUACAAGAGUGUAUCGGUGUACAAUCAUUUUAGGUUCUAAUUAGCAAGGCAGUGAGGUGAUUGGCACCAAUCCAAUUGAUUAUUUAAUCCAAUCACUUAGUGAAUUAAAACUUACUUUUAAUUCACCUUCUUCUUUCACGACUACAUUUAAUCAUCUAGAAGAACUCACAAGCCAUGAGUGACAUCUAACCAUAUAUCAUGGCUACCCAAGCUAAUGUAGAAUUUGUUCGGAUAACCUAUUCAGUUGGAAUUACAAUGUAAUUCGAUCCUUCUCUAAAACAAUACUCUUAAUCACACUAUUAGGGUAUGGAUAUAUUAUGUCAAACCCCUAAUGUGAUUAUUCCAUGUUAUAUGAUUCAAUUGAGUCGUAUAGGAACGCUUUCCUUUAUUACGCUCGAUACUUCGGCCGAAGAUUCCCGAAUCAUAUCUUAGAGUAUUCUUCCUCUCAUAACGAGGAUUAGAGAUCCCUUGUUGCGCAUUUAAUUGCCUCCAUGGCUAAGUGGCUUAACCCCAACUAUGCCGUGGACACCCGCGAAUUGAGUGACUUUGACAUAAUCAAAGAUCAAGGACCUAACCACAAGACAACUAUGAUGCCUCAGGUCAAAGGACUACUUACAUUAUUCCAACCAUUAGAGUUACUUGCUUGACAUGUGAGUAGACCUCCAUGCAAGUACUCUCGUUCGAUUGUGUUCUGUGAACUCAUUCCCUUAAUGAGCACCUACAUACCUGUCUUAGUAUCACUACACGAAUGGGAUGAGACUUUCCAUCCUUCCAAUUGAAGGGGACACAGUAUGUACUGGUCUUUGCAUUGUUAGUAUCCCUCUGACAAUCAUAUGACCAGGAACCUUUUUGGACAUGAUGGUUAUGUGAAGAAGGUCUCUGUAGUCUAACAUCAUUAGAUUACUUCUUACAUCGAUCCAUUGUCCAUGGAUUCACUAUUUAGGACAUAUAUCGUUUAUUGAGAUAGUCCUAAUUAGUAUCUUUGCCUUUUUGAUGUAUAAGAGUCAUCUAUACACAUUCAUUGUCCUGAAAGGUUUCUUCCAAAGAUUGACUUUCAGGGCAUAUUUCCAACAACCAUGUUUAAAAUUUGGUAAAGAAAAACCAAGUGGUUAGAGAGAUAAUUGAAACCCCGCUUUGGGCGGCGCGUGGCAGCACGUGUGCUGUGUUUUUGGGACACAGCUGGCGAGUGAAUCAUUGUGGUUCAUUGACUUACGUAAGCCUAUAUUUAGGUUUGGGGCUUACAUGAUGGAUCCUAAGCACUCUGUAUCUGAACAUCUUAGGAAGAUGUCUAGCAUGAUACGAGAUUUGAAAGCUGCUAGGAGUAUCCUCAUCGAUGAACAGCAAGUCCAAAAUGUGAUUAGGUCACUCCCAGACUCAUGAGAUGCCCUUAAACAUAUCAUGAUGCACAAUGAUCAAAUUAAGAACUUUCAUGACAUCUCGCGUCAUGUUGAAUUGGAAGGUGAGUGAUGAGUGACGACCUAGAGUACUGUCCUUUUGACUCAAGGUGGGUCCAAAAAGGGUAACCAGUUCAAAGGAAAGGGUAAGACCAAGUAUGAGAAAAAAAUGCAAAGCUUGCUCUUAAUUCUAAUAACAUCAAGGCCCACAGAGGUAAAGGUGGCAAGAAAGACGAAUCCAAGUCAAAUAGAAAGGUAAUCCUUAACCCUAAAUCUGUCAUUGUUUGUGUAUGUUUGCAUAUACAUGUUGCUCACAUCCGACAAUUAGAUUGUAGACACAGAAGCAACCAAGCAUGUGACGCGAGAUAAAAGGGGGUUUAAAAAUUAUCAACACUUUCCAGCAAAGUCACACUGGGUGUACGUGGGUGAAGGAAGUCGUACAGAAGCAUUGGGAGUUGGUUCGUAUUUACUUCAACUAAGCACUAGGCGUCAACUACUUCUACAUAAUGUCUUGCACACCCCUGGAAUGCAAUUUAAUUUACUUUUAGUUACUGCACUUUUAUAUGAAGGAUAUUGUUUUUUACUUAAGCACAUCUAGACUUGUAAUAUAUUUGGAACAAGUUGAAGUUGGAUAUGGUUCAAAAAAGAACGAUUUUGUUUGCUUGGAUUUGAUUGAUUCUUGUUCUUCUACUUCUUUAGUAACUGUUAUUAAACAUGUUAAUUUUGAAACAUGGCAUGCUAGACUAGGGCAUAUAGGGCAAGAUAGAAUGACAAGGUUAGUUAAAGAAGGCCUAUUGGGGUUACUCACUAAUGUCAAUUUGUUGUAUGUAAGCCUUGUUUAGCUGGCAAAGCAGUUAGAAAACCUUUUAGAAAGACUGUUCAAGCUACUCAACCAUUAGAGUUAAUCCACUAUGACAUAUGUGGACCAAUGAGUAUGAAGGCUCGUUUUGGCACCUUUUAUUUUCUGACUUUGAUUGACGAUUACACAUGAUAUGGUUAUGUGUACUUGAACGCUCAUCGCUAUGAAGCUUUAGAUUAUUUCAAAUGCUUCGUAGUUAAGGUUGAGAAUCAAAAAGGGAAAACUAUAAAAGCUCUUCACAUUGAUCAUGGAUGCAAGUAUUUGUUUGACCAAUUCAAGGUUUUUUGUGAAAGUAAGGGGAUACCCAGACAACUUUUUGUUCCUUACACUCCACAACAAAAUGGUGUUGCUGAAAGAAGAAACAAAACUUUAUUUGACAUGGUCAGGUCUAUGAUGGCGUAAGCAAAUCUCCCCAUAUCUUUCUGGGGUGAUGCAUUACUGACUGUGACGUAUAUACUUAACCGUGUGCCUUGAAAGACGAUUCCCUCAACCCCAUACAAACUUUGGAAUAAUGUAAAACCCAAUCUGGGUAAUUUGCAUCCUUAGGGUUGUGCUGGAUUUGUUCAUAAUCAAUUAAAUAAGUUUGGAAAGUUGGGUCCUGGAACAAAUAAACAUAUCUUUAUAAGAUAUUGUGAAAACUCGAAAGGUUAUGUGAUGUAUGGUGAACAUCCAGAUGGAGGAAGAACCGAGAUUGAUUCAUGUGAUGUGGAAUUCAUAGAGAAUGACUUCCUAAAACUUGGCGAUACUAUAAAAAACCUUGAUCUCCAUGAGUUGGAAAAAGAUGAAGAACUCGUAACAUCAUCAUGCGAAGGAGGGGAAUUAAUUUCCAAUCCGAUGGUCGCUGAAUAUGAUGUAGGAGGACUUGAUAUAAGUGGGAGUACACAACCCAGUAGGAGUAAUGUAUCCAUAAACAUUCAAGAGAAUAUGCCCAAUGAUGGGAGUGUACCCUUUGAAAUUCAAGGUCACACAGUUCGAAGAAGAAAGAAAGGCCACAUUCCCAAACUUCAUUUUGAAGUUGAUGGGGAGGCCUACAUUUGCAUACCGUCAGAGGAAGACAAACCUACUUCUUACAAAAAAAGAGUUGUUUUCAACGGCCAAAGAAAAGUGGAUAACUGCAAUGGAGGAAGAGAUGAGCUCCAUGGACAAAAAUAUUGUAUGGGAGUUAGUUGACCUUCUUUUUAGGCGUGAAACCAUUGGAAACAAGUGGGUUUUAAAAAUCAAACGCAAGGCAAAUGGUUCAAUUGACAAAUAUAAGGCACGCCUUAUGGCGAAAGGAUACACUCAACAAUUGGGUGUAGACUAUGAAGAGACAUUCUUCCAUGUGGUGAGGUUUGCCUCUAUUCACCUCAUUUUAGCUAUUAUUGCUCAACUAGAUUUGGAACUUUACCAAAUGGAUGCUAAGACAACAUUUCUCAAUGGAGAACUAGACAAUGAGAUAUACAUGGAUCAACCUCUAGGCUUCGAGGCUAAGGGAUAAGAGCGAAAGCAAGGGUCUGGACAGUGGAACAUUAGAUUCCAUAAUUCAAUCACUUCAUUUGGUUUUGAGAUGAUUGAGGAAGACCAUUGUGUGUAUCUUAAGAAAUCUGAGAAAAGUAUUCUCAUACUUUUUCUGUAUGUUGACAACAUCCUAAUAGUGGGAAAUGAAAAAACCUCCACAGAAACCACGAAAGCGUGGCUGUCAUCCCAUUUUGAGAUGACAUAUAUGGGUGAAGCACAUUAUGUGCUUGGAGUUAAGAUCACGAGAGAUCGCUCAAGGAAACUUCUAAGUUUGUCUCAAGAGACUUACAUUAAGAAGGUACUUGAACGAUUUAAGAUGGAGAACUCCAAACCCAUAGACACUCCUAUGGAAAGAGGCGCGAUAUUAUGCUUAAAACAGUGUCCAAACACUAAGAAAGAGAAAUAACAAAUGGCAACCGUCCCCUAUGCCUCUGCAGCAGGAAGUUUGAUGUCUGUGAUGCUUUGCACGCAUUUUGACAUUUACCAUGCCAUAGGCAUGGUAAACCACUGUCAAAGUAAUCCUGGACAAGCUCACUGGCAAGCCGUCAAGAGGAUUAUGAGAUACCUGCAAGGAACAAAAGAUUUAGCCCUAUGUUACUAAGUAGGGGAUCUAAAAUUGAGAGGAUAUAGUGAUGUAGACUGGGCAAGCGAUAAAGAUGAACGCAAGUCCACCUCAGGUUAUGUUUUUGUCCUUAGAGGUGGAAUUGUUUCUUGGUGUAGCAAAAAGCAAACUUGUAUUGCUCUGUCCACAAUGGAGUCAAAAUAUGUUACCCUUGGAUCAGCUAUCUGGCUUAAGAGGUUUCUACGACAUAUCGGAGUUAUGGCUUAUGCUCAAGAAGUUGUACUUGUCUACUGUGAAAAUACUUCAACCUUAGCAUACACUAAAGAUCCUAAGUAUCAUGGCAAAUCUAAGCACAUAGAUACACGAUAUCAUUUCUUUAGGAACAAGGUUACUAAGGGUGAAGUAGUGUUGAAACAUAUCUCAACCAGCAAUAUGCUCGCUGAUCCUAUGACUAAGCCCAUAAUUAGAAACUUGUUUCUGACUCAUAUAAAGAAUAUGGGUUUAUGUAGGGUUUGAUGUGAUUUUCUUUGUAUUUGACAUGAUUAUUGAAUAAAAAGGCAUUGAAGUUUUUCAUUUCAUAUUUAUUUAUUUUUGAAAUGAUUGUUUACACAUCUUUACGAGUGUCACCAAGCUAGAAUCCAUUUUUCACACGAACGAUUCGCCUUGGUGUUGAGAUAGCGAGUUAGAUGAGACAUUUAUGUCCUCAAUGCAUUGGGUUGGGAGACCGGACACGUGUAUGUUGAAAGUACCAAUAUGCUCAAGGUAAAUGUUGCCUUAGAAAUGUCUACAAUGAGACUUAACAGAAGUCGAACAUGAGAUUUGUUUCAUGUUGAAGCUUGUAAUGCCAGAUAUGAGUAUAUAGGUGGGCGUCAAGAAGGCAACUAGGCUAGAAGACUCAGGUUAGGCGCUUGUGUAGCGACUAGACUAAGAUCCAUAUGGUGCAUGUCCAAUGGACAUGUGACACACUCAUUAAAAUAAGGAUACACCAUAACAUACAAUCAUAUUGUAUGUGUUAUAACCAACUGAUAGUGGAAGUGAUGAAUUGAUCCAUGUUUUAAUCACUAUGUGAACCACAAGGAAUCUAUAUGAUUGCACCCUUAUGCCCUUUGAACUAAAGUCUACGUUAGAGAGAUGAGGUUUAAUGAUCACUACUUUAGCACAUUUAUCUAAGACGGUUAAGUGAGCUACUGUCUCAAGAAGCGUGUGUAGGCAAGCAGUUAAAUCAAAUUAGACUGACAUGAGAGCUUAAGGAGGACAAUUCGAAGAUAACACCAUGUCGUGUGAAUCAUUGCGUGGCGUCUUUUGAUAUUUGUCAUCAAACAUAAGACAUGGAUAUAUGAUACUUGUGAGACAUGACAUUGUUUUUAACAAGGGAUAAAGAAUGUCAAGUCUGGUGUAUGACGAACAGUCUGGAGCAUAAAGCGAUGAACUUCUGAGUGAUGCACUAUUGUUAGUUUAGUGAUAACUUAAUGGCGUCCCAUUUCCUGUAUGAAUUUAGAACUGACUUCAUUGGCCUUAUAUCAGAGUAGAACGGUACUUCGAUAAUCGCAAUGAUACUCCUCCAAAACACAAAAGUUUAGGAUACAAAUACUUUUUUACCCAAGUGUUGAAAAGCAAAUACGCAGACUUAUGCCUUAUCGUACAAGCUUAAAUCAUGUUUGGUUUCGUGGCUCCUAACUCUGAAACAUGUCUAAUCUGGAAAGGUUGUCGCGGUUAAAACUAUAUUCCAAGAAAUGGAAGCAAAUGAUGAAAAGUUUUACGUGUUUUACUCUUAAAAGGAUUAAUGAUUUGAGUAAAGUGCUUCACGAAAUAUCCAAGUAAAAAAGGUUUAAAUUCAAGUCCCAUGACAAGGCAAAAUAAGUUCAAAUGUUGGAAGCAACAUGCCUCCAUUCCUGUAAAAAAAUUGUCCUAACACUUAAAAGAAUAAAACUAAGGGUAAAUUACAUAGAACUACCUCAACUAUUGGGUCAUUAACAGUUUCAUACCUCGUCUUUAAAAAGUUUCAAUGUUAUACCAUAUCUUCUAAUUUGUUGCAAUGUCAUACCUUCCGUCAGUUGACUGUUAAUUCCUCUGUUAAAUGCUAAUGUGGCAUGAGGCGGGGUCCAUUUUUUUAUUAAUAAAAUAAAUAAAAUAUUCUAAAAAACUUUAAAAAUAUUAACUAAAUAUUUAAA
rnacentral:lncRNA from 1 species